rnacentral:lncRNA from 1 species
UGUUUGGCUCUUAUCAGUGAGUUAAACAUUAUUGAAUAUAAGAUUAUGUUAAGAGGAAGACAGUAAUUGGUGCAUUUGUGAGUGCACUUCCAAGUACCUAGACAAUACAAUUGUCGGAUGUGAGUCUGGAGUUCAUUAUCUUGAUUAAUAUCUGAAUAAUCAUAACUGGAAUUGCUACAAAAACAAGUUAAAAAAUGACUUUGGAUGAGAUUACAAUGCUCAUCUUCUUUGAAUGUGUCAUCUGCUGGAUAAAUUUGGAGAAAUACAAAUUAUUGAUGUCUCUGUUGUUGUGAGCCACGAAGAAACAACUCCAAGUUGGGACCAUACAGAAUGAAUAUGUUAACCAAAUAUUUUUUUGGAUUUAAUAAUUUUCUGUAGAACAUGAUUUUUUUUUCUUAGAAUUUAGUACUGUAUAUUUCAGAAAAGGAUUUUCUUCAUACUUGGUACCUAUUCAAUGCAUAUGUUUGAUAGGACCACCCCUAUAUUGGUACCACAAAUAAAGACCAUAUAAUGGUUUAGAAUUAGGAGAAGAUUAGGCCCAUCCUUUUGCUUAUUUACUAACCUUACAUAGAAAGCUAAAUAGAAUAUCUUCUUUAAUUAAUAUAUCUUAGUUUCAAUCUAUUUCCGAUCAUUGUUGACAUUGGAAUAAUUAGUUAGAAUUUUUGUGAAUAAUGAUGAGGUGUAUGAUUUGAUCAUAAGUGGUGGCACACAAUGCCUAGAUUUAUUUAUUUAUUCAUUUAAAAUCAAGAGCAUUGUUGUUUUUUUGUGCAAUGUGUAUCAUAUUGGUCCUUUGGAGUUCUUCCUUGUCUUGACUCCUCACAACUCUUUUAUCUUCUUAAUCCAUGGGUGCUCCUAACUUAGCCAAGUGGGCAUCUAAGUAAUACUAGUAAAAAAUUAAAAAUUAAAUAAAAUUCAAUGGAAUAAAAGAAGAAGUAAAUUUUAUUAUUAAUUCCCCUAAAUCUUAGUCCUAGGAUAGAUUGACCUUGCCAUCCAAUGCCCUGUAAGCUGAAGGGAUACCAAAGAUGUUGUUGAUAAUAAAUUAGAAGUAGAUAAUCAUUUCUUAGUACAUGAGUGAAGAGAUAGGUUUGCAAAAAUGUUUGUCAUCAUGUUAUUUUAACAUCUCUACCAUAUAACUUGUUAUAUUAUUAUAUAAUAAUUGCAAAGAAUCGAGUGGUGAACUCAUGAAAAUAAUAAUUUUGUUAAAUUUUAAAACACAAUAUGUAUUAUAAUUUGACUCUAAAUUCCUUCAUCACACUAUUAUACAAGAAAUCCUUGGUAUAAAAAAAAAACUUUUGUUAAUUUAAACACUAAAAUCAAUACCCAGUGCACAUUUGUGUAUAUGAUUGAAAUAUAAGAACACAUUAAAGCUGUUUUAAAAUAGUACAAGUUGUGUUAAAGCACUACACCUAUAUUUCAUAAAUAUCAAGUCUAUUGGUAGCACUCAGGUUAUGUAGUUUUUUUCUACUUUGUUUUCAUUUGUUGCAAAGAAUUUACAUGCAUUAUGCACGUAACCUGAAGUGCUCAGUGGUUUGUAUUGAAAAAUCACCCAACAUUCAUAACUGUGUUUAAAAUUCAUUGAAACAAUACUGUUUACAGUGGGUGUGUAUUCGUAAAAUCCAAAAGCUGCUUUUAAAAAUAAAAAUUGCUUCCAAUAUGUGGGCAGUUUUGCCUUUGUCUAAUAAAGAAAGCCGUUUCCUGGGGGUCGCCAAUCAGGAUCCAGUGGCCUAGUCAACAAGACUAUCUGGCCAUUUGCAACCCCACGACUGGUCAAACCCUGCCUUGUCAUCAAGCUGACUCAGCAUAAUCAGCAAAGUUCGUGUGACGUGGCAUUCGUGGUGACGAAGUGGUCCAGUGACUUAUUGGCCAAGCUCCGUCAGGAAACAGGCCAUUGGGAACGGGGUUCCCUUCCGGAUCCCACGGCGUCUGGUGCCACCCAGGUUUAAUUUCGGUGUCCAGCUGGACGAGCCCUGCCCUGUCAGCAUCCUCCCUUUGCGACGCAGUGUGUGUAACGACGAACUAGGGCUUUGUUCGGAGGACCACAAGUGUGGAGGUUAACACGGCCGAGCUUUUUAGAUCGACAGUGAAUGUUCGAGUGGAUUCACGCGUAGCUGCUGCUUAAAAUCUCUUCUCGCGAGAUCUUUCCUUGGGAGUGCUGUUGGGCCAGAAAUCGGUUUUAUUGAUCAAAUAUUUGAUAAUUCAUUGAUGAGCACAAUUUGGUCAAAGCCGCCCUGUUGGGCGGGUCGAAGAUCGCGGACCCCAGAAAAGAUAGAGCCACCACGAUCCUCUUGUGAACGAACGUAUGUGUCACGACGGAUUGCACGACGAAAAUUCUGGAUCCUUCUGCUGUUAUGAUAAUGCUCCCAGAUUAUCGUUUACCCAGCACUUUGGCCGAUUUGUUGCCUACGAAUGCAAUAGUGUCGGGUAGCUUAGCUAGCUACGUCACAGCUCUAAAUGAGCUUCGCCUACGUGGGCUUAACUAUUGGAGAUUUGAUGCGUCCCCAGCGAUUCCCUUUGAAUUGUCAUGCCGAUGGUCCUCAGUUGAAGUAAUGAUCUGCACAAAAUCUGAGAUGAUUCUGUUCAGUGCUUGCCUCAGUUUCCUCAGUGCUGUUAUAGGAGUUUAAGAAAACGAUCUGGGCCCUUUUGUGUUGUAAGCGUGUAGUGGGCUGAAUUUGUAAAUCCAAAUUGUGCGCCGGUAGGUGUGGAGACGAGAUUCUGGUUCCACGGGUUAGCAUUUCUUCAUGGACGAAGCGUACAGGUGAAGCGGCGAUUGUUUGGUUUAAGGCGAAGGGACAGAUAUGACGUGGGAGCCCCGUUAAUUCUUUUUUUGAAGGGAGGUGGUGCUUGGUGAGAAAUCGUAACAUUCUUUUCUGGUGGUGGAGCAAGCAAGGUUGAGGGUCGUGGUUGUGUUUUCUUCUGGGAUGCGUAUAUGAUUGCUGUCUUCUUGAGAAGUAUUCGCAUGGACUCUUAUCCAUUUGGUAUCUAUCUGUCCCGAGCUCUCGAAAUUCGAAGAGAAGGAUGAUGUUCUCACACCAAAUAAACUGUAAUGGAUUAAAUAGUUCUGCUGCGAAAUACCACGCUCUUCCGCACUGGGGAAAUUCUUUACGUUAGUGGUUUCAUGUCGCUAGAUGUACCUGGUCGUUACGUGCAAGACUCGUUAUUUCUAUUCGAUGACUAGAACUAUUUGACUGGAUUAGUCUUUGGAAUAGAAGGUUUCAGAAUUGGGAUUAUAGGAGGGUCGCCAUGGAGUUGUACUUCGCUGACCAUUUUAACCCUGUGUCGAAGUCAGACUGUUAGUCUUGUUCAUUUCACGAUGAGAUGAUGGGAAUAUUUCUCGGUACAGUCGGUGAUUAUUAUAUCUCUUUCUCACUUCUAUGUAAAGUGGUCAUAGCAUAGUUUCGCCUGGGUCACUUUUUUGUGCGGUGGUGCAAUUGGUCAUUCUGUUUAAAGAAUGGCCAGUGAUUCCUAAGUUAUCUGUUACUUUAGACACUAUUGGAGGUAAUUUUGAGCGAUAAUAUUCUUUGGCAUUGGUCUUCAAACACCGUGUGGCAUGUGAGGGUGCCCAAGCCUGUUUGAUGAUCAUAGUCAUCCUGGUACAGUAUAGCUGGACUGCUGCAAGGAGUUCUUACGUGUGAAGGAAUUCCGAUUUUGUGUCGUGUGCUUAACGGCGCAAAAGUAUACAUUUAUUGAUCUCAAUAUUUCAUCAAUUCGUCAUGUUUGUGUGGCCUAAUCCUUUGCGACGGUUCUUCAUGAUGUCGUUACAUUCCAGGCGAACUAAUGAGGAUUUCGAUUAGUUGUACUUCAAGCCUGACUUAAAGUACACUUAACAAAUUCAGCAGUAGAAGCUGCCAUGUAGUCAUUGUUCCCCCUUUUCCUCUAUUAUGUUUUUUUCGAGCGAGUGAUUGAUGAGGUUUAUCAUGGGCAGCCCUUUAGAUUUUUGUUGGUAAUGUAACAAUGAAGGACAUACUGUGUUAAAGGAAUUCUACUUACGAAGUGCAGUAGUUGUAUGUAGGAACUGAAUGAAGGCACCUUAACAUAUUCAUAUUGAGGAACAUGGAUGGUGUUGCUGAGGAUAUCUUGCUUUCUGAAGCUGAUGAAUUUCUUAUUUGUCCUCUGUCUGGGGGUGGGUUUCCAGUUUUAAGCGUUAGGUGCGAAGAUAUCUUACGGGGUAGAGCAUUUCGUCAGCAGCAGCAAUGAAUUUUUCCGGCGUGGAUUUUACUUUAUCUGGACAAUAUAAAGCCAUGCUGGCACCACAUUAUUCAUCUGAGAAGAAUCGUAAGUCUUGUCAAUUCAACACAACACUGCGUUCUGUAUUUAAAACUGCUCAGCACAUUAAGAGGAUUUCAGGUUGUUUAUAUCUCCCAUUCAAUGUCCUUUAAUGGCUCAUUUGCAUCUUGAUUCAUUGAGUUAGUCAUGUAAGGUGAAGCUUGAGGCACCCGGUAACAAUUUGGUCGAUAACCAGGUACUUACUGAAGGUCAAAAUUAGUGCACAACUGAUUCUGAUGCACCUACUUCCAAAUGUCAGAGGCAUUCCAUAGCGUAUAUCUUCGCGCAACUAAUGAACUUAUUUUCACAUGUGGUCGUUGGCGUGCAUUAACUCGACCUGUGACUGAGAUACCUGAUGAUGCAAUUUCAGACGAAGGAGUUGAGAGAUACGACCACGUUCAAGUUUCUAGUGGACCAGUCUCUACUUCCAGAGAGGAAUUGAGAAGUCUUGUUCCUCCCAGACCGGUAAUCCACAUCUGAUCAAUAUACCCUUUAAUAUUCAUGGGAUUCAGUGAUAUCCUUAGAGUUCUUAGAAUCGUUUUUCAGAAUUCUUUAGGGUGCUUAUUUGACCAACUCGAAUACCUUUUACAGGUUGUGAGAAGGUGGAAUGCGCCAGAGCGACCUGUGGAUUUAAAAAAUGGGAAGUUCCCGUACUGUUUGGUGUGGGUACCACUACCAAUUAUUGCGUGGCUUGUACCCUUCGUAGGUCACGUUGGCAUUUGCCGAGAGGAUGGUGUAAUCCUCGAUUUCGCUGGAAAUAUUAAUGUUGACAACCUUGCAUUCGGCUCGUGCGCCAAAUACGUGCGUCUCAGUCCCAACAAUGUACGGGCCUGAACUUUUAUCCAUUAUGAAGAUGCUAGCUGUUAGUGUAUAUUUCUUUGAUACUUUGAUAGUUUUAGACUUCGUGUGACAUUUGUCGACUUCUAAAAUUCGAUAUUGUGGUGUACAGUGCUGUUUCCCCCAUCCUCAAUACGGCCAUACAUGCAAGGUUGCUGACAAGCAUGCCGCUGCUGGCAUGGCCUAUUCUUGGGAUGAUGCGAUUUCAAGAUCAGUUCAAGUCUUUGGGAGAAAGUCAUACAACUUUUUUACUUGCAACUGUCACUCAUUUGUUGCGAAUUGCAUGAACCGGAUGGCUUACGGAGGACACACGAACUGGAAUCUUGUGGAUGUCCUUCUACUUGCUCUUGUGCAGGGCGAAUUUGUCGACUUCACCGGAUUCCUUCGAGGCUAUGUGCCAUUCGUUGCAAUCAUGACCCUUGGAUUGUUCAUGGCAGAUUGGGUAUACUUCUUCUUCUGGGCCGGGUUCGCUACCCUACUCCUUGGGUGGUUCAUUUAUGGUACCUACGUUUUUGGAGGUUACAUUGAUUGCUGAGGUGGUGCUGGUACUUUUUGGAACGGAUUGAUAGGUGUGAAGUACAGAUUCACAGGGAUAGUCCUAAAUUUUUAGAAAUGAAAUCUAUAUUUAGGCAUUGGUGAAGGUAUAUUCAGGGUUUGGCGACAGGGCUAAGGUGGUAAGAAUGUAUAUUUGUAGAGAUUUGUAGACUUUGGGUGAAAUUGGUGCUGUUCGAACAAAUGAAAGCAUGGAUUAAUGGCACGGUUGAGAACAUUUUUGUACGAGACCUUUCUUAAACAGCGAUGGUCAAACGUUGAAAAACGUCUUCGGGCAUAUUUGAAAAAGCUAUCGUUUUUCGAUUACUUCGUGUGUUGGCUGGUGAGGAGUAUGUCCUCUACCACCAAAUUUGUGUGCUGAAGAAUUUCCAGAGUUUGAUUGAGGCACCGCCUCAUGGUCACGGUGGCUGUAUUUCAACCAUCAGUUGCAUAUUUUCCACUAUUUUUUAUUGUCAAACCAGUUUGCCCCUUUGAUCAUGUUUCUAUCUAACUCCGUUCUUGGACAAGUAGGCAUUGUUCACACUGAGUGAUCCUUUGAUCAUUGCAUCAGCAUGUUCACGUGCUAAUUUACAGUGAACUGAACGAUUACAUCCACGUUCAUCUCCUGUGACGAAUGUCUUGCGGGUUUGAAUUGUAAUGAUGGGAGAGACAGAACAAGUUUGAUCCUUCACUUCUUGUAACGUGAAUUGGCCCUUAUAGAUGUUUACGAGUAAUGGACGACAUCUAGCGGGGCAGUUGUACACACAUUCAGUAAUUUGUGUACCAUUAGUUGAGAGACUUCCAAGGGUAACGCCGAGUAUCUGUCCCACAAUGUCCUCCAAUUGGACUCAAGAACUCAGUGAUAUUCGUGGAUCAAUUAUUGCUACAGUUGCAAAUUUCUUGUUGAUAGAUGCCCUAGACACUGCAACUUGAUCCAAACAUCGUCCUGUAUCGAAUGCCAGUGAUGCCCGUGAAACAUCCCUCACCGACAUCGCGCGGAGCUCUGCCCGCUUCUGCCGUUGAUGAAUGUUCACGCCCCCGCCAGCUCCGUCCCCAAGAUUCCCAACACCGCUUGUGCUCUCCACUGCAUACAAUCACGAAGCACAACGAAGCACGUAAGCGAUCUUGGCAAUCUUCAGGACGGAGAUGCUUGGGAUAAUGGCAGAAAUGGGCAAGGCUCUGCGAGAUGUUCUAGGAGGGAUGUUAAACGAGUGCCCAGAUUUCAGCUUUGCCCCGAGUGCUCAGCUUCCUUCGAUUCGGAGGCAUAUCUCAUUUGUCAUGCAGAUUAUGAUGUUCAAUUUAAGUACUAGAAUGUAAUUGUAGAACUGUUCAAGAACUGUCCCUCUUCUCUCUCCAUUGGAUUCGGAUGUCGGUUGGGUGGAGGGAAGAAAGAGAGAAGCAACGUAUAAGGUGCUUGAAGUCCCUGAGAAGCUUCAUAAUUUAGGCUCUCAUUUGAGGCCGAGAGUUCUUUUUUCUUUCAGCUCCAAGCAUCUGACAAAGAUUCGAUCUUCCGCAUGAGCUCCUCUUGGGAAGCCAGUUACUAAUUUGGUUUUCUGCCUUUGAACAUAGGUUCACAUCUGCUUCUAGAUCGUAAGUGACGAACUCGACUUUUAAUGGCAUGCCUGUUGCAGAUUCAGCUGAUUUGUGAACCUGUCUCGAUAGAUUGACAUAUUCACGCCGGUACUCAUUUCACAUUAUUUUCGAUGAACUGCUGCACUACGAAAUUUCGAUAAAUAUUUAAAUUCAAGUACAUUAAUUCUUAAAGACUGAUUCACAAUGACAAAGUUAUCAAUGCAUUCGUUAACUUUGAUGGCUCCUGGAUCCGUCUAUUAUCAGACCAGGCCUAGAUCAUGAAGAUGAAUGCUACGUAUAGCUUAAAGCUUGCUACUGUCGUAACCGUGCUUCUGUCUGUGAGCUUGAGUUCCGUGCGUGGAGCUCCGUAUGGAUGGAAGGAUGCACACAUCACCUACUACGGAUCACCUAAUGGUGGUGGAACGCAGGGGGGGCGCGUAUCAAAAUACAUACGCCCUCGGGUAUUGACCCUUGACUGCGGCAUUGAGUUCUCCUCUGUUCCAGGGUGGAGCGGCUUGCGAGAGCUGCUAUCAGCUGAAGUGCGCACUCGUGAGGGCCUCUUGAAUCGCGCGAAACUGGUGCUGGAACUAUUUUCGCACGAUCGUUGUGACUGCCACUAAUCUGUGCCCUCGAGGCUCUCACGGAGGAUGGUGUGAUUAUCGCCCUCACUUCGACUUGCCAAUGCCCGCAUUUACCGCGCUUGCAAGACGUGAAGGAGGAGUCGCUCCCGUUUUCUACAGGAGGUAUGUGACUUUCUGUAGUGCAGACAUCGUUCUGCAUUGCAUUUCUUAACAUGAACUCAUCCUGCUUGUAAGGUACUAAUGGUGGCAAGGUUACUUGCGAUGACAGGGUUAAAUGUGUGAAACGCGGUGGAGUUCGAUUCACUAUCGGAGGAAACCCAUACUUCACAAUGAUUUUGAUCGACAACGUUGGAGGUGCAGGUGAUAUCAGGUCUAUGAGGGUUAAGGGGCAGUAUGGCGGUUGGGUGAACAUAUUCCGGAACUGGGGAUCGAUACGGACUUGCCGGACCAAGGUAGCUGGAGCAUUGUCUUUCAUGAUCACGACGACAGACGGACGGUCCAUAGUGUCCAACAGAGCGGCAAACGUGGGAGGGCUGCCAGUUCAGAUAGUCCCACUGGGACCCAUCGCGAUUCUUAGUCUGUCUCGCAAGGGACCGUUUCGAUCGAAACUCAACGACGCUCCUCGGACCCUGAUGUGCCUGCAGGAAUGGCCCGUUCGUCCGCGCGAAGCUGAUCGCAGCCCGAGACGGUCACGAAGACCUGCUGCUUCGCUGCACAUUCUUUCAGUUUGGUAGUCCCCAGUUGCUACAAUCGGUACGAUAGAGGGAAGGGAAACAAAAAAAAACAAAAAAAAAAGUAAAAAGUGAAACUACUCAACACUUUUUCGAUCCAGCCAAUCCUGCUGGACCAUUGCAUUUUCAUUACACUUAGUGCUUGAAACACUUUUGACAGAUCUUCGGUGUGAAAUAAACACAUGAUAAACUCAUACUGUUGUGUAUCCGCGUCUUGUACUUCUUCUUUCACUAGACAUUAGCUCUGUGAUUUCUAAACCUCUUUUGAGAGUCGGGGUCGUUAUAUGCUCUACUUGUCUUUCAGAUCCUCCACCUGCGUUGUGAGAUCUGAAGGCCUGAGGCAUUGUUGUUUCUUCAUGUACACAGACACACAUACGUUCAUACAUUUGUGUUUCAUGAUGAUGAUGCUGUUGGGGAAGUGAAAAGGUUAGAACUAUCAAUAUGUGAUGUUCAGACUCCGAUGUGGUUCGCUGAUUAGAAAUUCUGCAUUGAUGUUUUUAGGAGUGAUAGAAAAUCCCAUGUUUGAGUUGGAAUGCAUUGUGUUAAACCUGCAUGUCUUUUGAGCCAAAGACAUGUUGCCAUGAAAUAUAAUUGAAGAGCAAACAUUGUGGUAAAACUCCACACUAUUCAAAUUGAGAUGCUUCAGUUUUAUUUGUUGCUGACUUGUUUUUCCACUGGUUGAGGAAAAGCAGUCACAUUGAGUACAUUUAAAGCAAGUGUGUAUAUCCAUGGUUGGCCACGAAAAAGUUAUAAAAUUUUAAUUUGUGGUUCCUAAGUCAAAAUCUAACCACUCUUAACUAAGAAAAUAUAAUUAUUAUUUACUAUAUAUUUAUGUUUUCUAGUAGAAACUUGUGCUGUUGGACAUUGCAAUCUUUGGCAUAUCUAUCUACUUUCUUAUUCAUCCAUGCUUCCUUGUAUUCAUUAGUUUCCAUGUUUUCUCAUUUCUAUGUUUUUUUCUAAGUUCUCUAAGUUUCUUGCAUUAUACAUACACAUCUAUUAUAUAAAUCGUAUUGUAAAAUAGCCAAUUGUGUUUCAUUUUAAUGGAGAAGAUUUGAAACUUCUUAUUUAAAAAAUCUAAAUUCCAUUUAUAUCUUCCUAUACCAUAAAAAUAUAUUCUUUUCAUAAUAGAAGUACAUGGAAAUCUUGCCAUAUAAUAUACUUCUAAUAAUAAUAGAAAAUAUUUUGUAUAAUUAUAUAUCAUGUGUAAGCUUUUAGAACCUUAGAAAUUUCAAGGACAAAAAUUAUUAUAAAUUUAAUACAAAAGUUAUAUAUAUAUAUAUAUAUAUAUAUAUAUAUUUGACACUUAGAAACACAGUCCAUAGUACAAAUAAACCAAAUUUCAUGUAUACAUAAGUCAAAAACUUAUCACAAGCUUUAAAGGAGGUUUAAUUAAUUUGAUUAGCGAAACUUUAAAAAUUUCAAGGACAAAAAAGCUUAAAUUCUUAUAAGAGUAAUCUACAAUAAUUCUAUGGUGAUUUCAAUUUUGAUUACUAUAGAAUCCAAAACUAAAAUCACCAUAUAUUAAAAAUCCAAAAUUAAAAUUCUCACUAAUAUUCAAAAAACUUCUAAUAUUAGAUAUAAGAAGAGCAUGUGAAAUAACUUGCAUUUUAACAAUGUUGAGAGUAAAUCCCUAUGGAUAUUUGAGUUUCAUCUCUAAAAAAAUUCAAGAAGCACUUAGGAAUUGAGCAAAUAAUUUCUUGCUAAUGAAAUCUAUCUCUCUUUUACAUUUUAUUUUUAUUUUUUUAUGAUAAUUCUUGUUUCUGUACUCAUUUCAACUCCUUAUUUGAAAAGAAUUUCAUUGCAUGCUUUCAAUUAGGUAGAAAUUCUAAAUAUUAGAAUACAUAAUGUGUCGUUGCUAGUCUCAAUAAAAAACACAAUUUAGAUGCACUUGAUGCACUUGUUUAUCUAUUUUUCAAAGUUCUUCUAUUGUUAUCUUGAUGUCAUUUUUUAUUAUAGAAGUGACCUUGCUCUUCUAAAAUCAAACCCAAAUUGUGGCAAGAGAUACAAGUCAAUCUUAUCUUUUCUCUAUGAUCAAUAUACAAGUAUCAUGGUAUUAUAUGUAAGAACAAUGAUCUGCCAAACAUAGCUUUGAUUCUUAUGCAGAUGCUUUCUUUUCAUAUUAACUAAAGAAAAAAGAAAAAAAGAAAAAGAAAAAAAGAAACUUUAUCAACUUUUUACCAUUGCUCAUAAUGCAACAAAUACCUUUGCAAAAUAGUUAUUGUCACCAUUUCAUGCAUUAAGAGUACAUUCUUAUAAAAGUUGGAUAGAUUCAUGUCAAAAUAAAGCAAGGAGAUAUUUUUCUUGCAAAACUAUAUAGACAUAGUAAUAUUACCAUCAAUUUUUCAUUAAUUUACACCUCUUGAAGACCUCUUUUUUUAGCAACCAAUUGCUUGUUGAAAAAAAUUGUAUAUCAUUUAAAGUUUUAUUUUUAUUUUUUAUUUAUUUUAUUUUAUUUUAUUUAAAAUGCAAGGAUAAAUUUUUGAAUCCUAUUGAUCUCUGAUAUUUAUCUAAUAAAUUAUUAUCUUUUUAGUACAUUCAAGUGCAUUUUUUCUAAUUUAUGUAUUUGAUAGUUUUUAGUAUUACAUUUAAAGAAUAUAUCAUAUAAUUUAAUAUAUUUAUUUAAUAGUAUUAAAUACUAUACUUUUGGUAAUAUUUGUUAUAUUAUUCAUUGUGCUUCCUUUUUGGCUUGCCUUACAAUUAUAAAAGUUUGGAUAGAAUUUUAUAAAAGAUUUUUGUCUUUUUUGAUUUCACUAUCUUUUUUAUGGAAUUUGGGUUAGUUAUUUGUUGACAAAUUUUCAAAGUAGAGAAGAGAGUUUUUCUUGCAUUCACUGUUUCUGUAUAUUCUUGUCACAAACAUACACAUAUAAGCCAAUAAUUGACUGUAUAAAUAGAUAGAAGUAGAUAAAAGUAAGUUAAUUCUAUAAUAUCUUCUAAAAAAGCUUCUUAGAAGCUUUAUAGAUGCUCUUUUGACUUUAUAGGUGUCUAUUAUUGACUUUUAGGUUAAAAACUUGGUCAAUAAGAUAACCAUGUGCCAUAUAUGUUGGCAGCUUGAAGAACAAGCUAAUUAUGUGGCACACAUGUAGAAAAACUUGCCUUGUAAGUCAAGACAUGUGUCUUACAAAGUUAACACAUAUUGGAGGUCCAAUAGAAUAUUGCCAUGUGGCCCUUUAUUAGAUAAUAUAUAUAGAAACAAGAGUAAAGCCUUCUUGACUCUUGUCAAUUCUUUUCUUGCUUCUAGUCUAGUUUCAAGAGUCUUAAGUUUUCUUAUCUUUUGGCAAUAAGACAUUUCAGUUUUUUUUUUUAAUAUACAUACUUUCUAAUUUUUAUUUUGUCACUUUUUCUUUGACAUAAAUUUCAUUAGUUUAUGCAUCAUUUUUCAAUUUGUGUCUUUGAUAAAUUGACAAGAGUACACUUAUAAUAUCAGAGCUUUGUCUUAUCUUGUUUAAGAGUGGAUUAUCUUUUUCUCAUGAUAAGACAUAAGCAUAUUAGAAGUUGUGGAUUACCUUUUUCUAAACUGAUAUUAGUCUUAUAAUUUUCUUUGUCCUCAAGUCCUUUCUUCUACUUGUCUUGAGUAAUAUUGGAUAUUUUUCUGAGUGUUAGUAUGGCAGAGCUUCUUGAAAUGAAGAGUGUAAUAGCACAAAUGCAAGAGUAAUUGAGAGAGUUGAUUAUUGCGAUGCAUCAACUUAGCUUACCACCACAAGGAUCAACAAGAAUGGCAGGAAGUGAAGAUAUAGAAAUGAUUAGAGCUACGUCAAUAUUUGCACCAAAUCAUGUCCCUCCACCCAUGAUGGAACAUCCUUCAAAUAUUAGAAAACUAAGAAUUACCCUGUCCAAGAAAUUUAAUAGUAUAAGAUCUAAAUUUUGAGGAUUUAUCAAUCAAGUACAACUUUUGAUUGAACUUCAACUUCAAAGCUAUCCAAUUUUAGGAUCACAAGUUAGAUUUAUAGGUAUACUUCUUUCAGGUUCAGCAAUAUCAUGAUUUUCAUCUUUUCUUGAAUAAUGAGAUCUAAUAUUGGAUAAUCUGGAGGCAUUUUUGAUGGAAUUUUGAUCUAUGUAUGGAGAACAUGAUGCAACUCAUGUUGCAACCAACAAGAUCUGUAUUUUACGACAAGGCAAUUGAUUUGUAACAUUAUAUGCUUUAUAGUUUUGACAACUUGCAACUGAUAUCAAGUAGGAUGAUGCUAUAUUUAUUAGCCAAUUUUUUUAUGGAUUAUAAUAUGAAGUAAAGAAAUUGAUGCUCAACUUACUUGAUCCUCAAAUAUUGCGUCAAGCAAUUCACUUUGCUGUGAAAUGCCACCAUCAACUUUUUGAAUUUUGAUUUGAGAGUCACACAAGUAGGCCUCAACGUUACUACAAUUUAAUAGCAAUACUAGCAUCUCUUCAAUAAAAACAUUCAAAAGUAGAGGAUAUGCAAAUUGAUGUGGUAUGUUUUAAACCUCUUACCAAGUAAGAAAAGACUCGACGUUGUGGAGGUAGAGAGAGUUUGUCUCAAGAAAGCGUUGGGCUUCUAGCUGCGACUAAAUACUCAAUCAAGUCUAAGAUAUAAAAUACUAAGUUUAUAUAUAUAAUGUUUUCCAUUUUUGAACAAUUACAUCAAAACAUAAGCCCAAGUACCAAAUAAACACUCAAAUGUAUAAUAAAGUAUCUUAAAACCUUCUAUAUCCAUAUGAGAAAUAUUUUCCAAACUUCAACAACUCUUAUGUCAUGAUUGGAUUGUCUAAACUAUUUUAAAAUUUACUUGAAAUAUUGAUAUACUUUCAAAAACUACCACAAAAAAAUUCAACUACAAAUUCAUUACGGAUCUUGAGAUAUCACUAAAAUCCUAACAGUAGCUUUAAACCCUAGCUUAUAUACACCUACAUAAUAAUUUCUUUAUAUCUCACAAAAUAAGUACUCAAAUACCAUGAAACAUUGAUAUAUAGCUUUUUAACUUAAUAACUCACACUUAUGUGAGCCAAAAAUUCAUCCAAAAACUCAAGCUAUGGCUCCAAACAUUACUAUCAACAAAAUGACUCACUUACUGUCUUUGAAUUACAUGUACUAUCUUCAAUGCCCUAUAACUCCUUCAUCUAGACUUGAAAUUCAUCAAAAUGUAUAUAUAAAAUAUAGCCAAAAAAGUAUUCUCUCCAACUCUAGUUGCUGAUAUUUCAUUGCUCUCCGUACGCAUAUGUUAUGCUCCAAAGAGUGACAGUAGGUACAAAUUUGACACCUUAACUUUGAAUACCUAUAUCUCCUUCAUAAAAAUUCAAAUUCAUACAAACUCUUCACCCAAAUUAUACCUAAUAUCUUAAACUUGCUGACUCUAGCCUCCAAAGCUCGAAUGACUUUGAAAGAGAAACUCUAAUUCCUAAUAAGGCCUCGGGCAGCCUCGUUGAAGCCCAUUGGGCAUGGCCUUUGAUCAAUAGGAAUGAAGAUCUCCAUUCCUUGCCUUCAUCCAACCAUGCCUUCCUUUCAUCCCUCCCAAUAAGCCUCCUAAUAGUUUAGACUUUCAUCUUUAGACUCCAACCUCUCUUAAGUUUUAUACUAAAUAUCUACAUUCUACAUAAUAUAAAUACUAUAAUCAAAAUAAAUAAAUCUCCAAAUAAAUUUUUCUAUAUCAAUUCUGUUUAAAUUUAUUUACUAACUACUCUAAUCUACAUCAAGACUUACAAACAUAUUAUAUGUCUUAAUUAAUUUUUACAUAUUAUAAUCAAUUCCAGUACGACAUCAACCUCUUCCAAACUUGCACAUCCUCUAGCAUGUGCUAACCUUAAUUCUUAUUUUCUUCAUCUUCAUCUAUGUUUGCAUCUUCUUCUUUAUAUUCUUAGUCCAAAUAUUGAGGUAAGAAUUCUCGAAGGUCUUCUAUUUGAAACCGCUUAUCUCUUCUCUUAAAAGUCUUCACUCUCUUCCUUGCUAUUGGAAUUCUAAUGAUAGCUCCAUCUAACUAACAAAAUAUAUAUGUUUCAUUGUGUUGCAAUAUUACAAUUAAAUAUGAAUCAAAAUAUUAUUUAUUUAUUUAUUUAAAUAUUCUUCUAUCUAUUAUAUUAGUGGUCUAAAAAUGGUAAGAGAUAUCCUAUGCUUUUUAAACUUUACUAACUAUUAUUGGAUCUUCAUCAAAGACUUCUCUGGAGUUGUAGUCCUACUUAUACAUUUGACUUGCAAAGACAAACUUGAGUGGAGAAGAGAAGUUGAAGCAUCUUUUGAAGCUUUGAAGUCAACUUUUAUUUUUGGACCAAUCUUAUAUUGCGUCAACUUUUCUAGGGCAUUUUUUAUGGAAACAGAUGCAUCAAAAUUUGCUUUGGAUGUUGUAUUAUCACAAAUAGGAACAGACGAUAAACUUCAUCUAAUAGCUUUUUAUUCCAAAAUUUUUUUAGUAAUUGAGAUUAAUUAUGAAAUCCAUAAUAAAGAGCUUCUUGCAAUUGUGGAUUCAUUUCAAGAAUGUUGUCAUCAUCUAAAAGGUGCUUACAAUCUAGUCACUAUAUAUAUAUGGACUUCAAGAAUCUCAAGUACUUCAUAUCAAUACGUGUUUUGAAUCAUUGCCAAGCCCAUUGGAGCAUGUCUUCAUCAAGAUUUGUUUUCCACAUAACAUAUUGACCUGGAAAAUAAUAAGAUUUGUCAGAGUCUCUUUCUAAACAUUCUUAUCUUCUACCAAAAGAAGGAAAUGCAUCUUUUAAUCAACAAAGAAUGAUUCUCUUGAAGCCAGAGCAUUUUCAUCUUCGAGUAAUGAAAUCAACAUUGAAUAUUCAUUCCACCUUUGUGAAACAAAUCCAAUCAAGUAUGUCUUCUGCUCCUCUUAUUCACAAUAUCAAGAAUCCUUCUUUUAAGUCGCAUGAUACUUCUAAUUUUGAGUUCAAAAUCAAACUAUUCUAUUUCAAAGGUCGAUUAUAUACUCCAAAAAGAGAAGCACGAUUACGUUUUCUUUAAGCAUGUCAUGACUUUUCAGUAGCAAGAUAUUUUGAAUACAAUAAGACUUUGGAGCUUAUAUCUAGAGAUUUUUAGUGGCUACAAAUGCAGAAGGAUGUUAAAGACUUUAUUCAAUCAUGUGACAUUUGUUCAAGAUCAAAAACUCUCUAUCAUUGAUCUUACGGACUUCUUCAACAAUUAUCAUUCGUGAACAACAAUUGUCUUUUCAUUCUAUGGAUUUCAUUAUAGAUCCUUUAAUCUCAGGUUCUUAUGACUCUAUAUUUGUGAUAGUAGAUCAUUUUAUCAAGAUGACACAUUUUUUACCAAGUACAAAAUCUAUUACAUAUGAAGAAACAGCUAAAGUCUUGUUUGGCAGUAUCUAUUGAUAUUAUGGAUUAUCCAAGGAUAUCAUAUUAGAUAAGAGAACUCAAUUUAUAUCAAGAUUUUAGUGGACUCUUUAUAAGAUUCUAAAAAUAGAUAUAAAACUAUCUUUGACAUUUCAUCUUAAAACUAAUGGACAAAUAAAGUAUGUUAAUCAAGUUUUGGAGCAGUAUUUAAGAUGUACCAUCAACUACCAACAAGAUGAUUGAACAACUCUUAUGCCAUUGGCAGAGUUUGCUUAUAAUAAUACAGUAUAUUCUUCUAUAAAAUAAAUAUCUUUCUAUGCCAAUUAUGGUUAUCAUCCAUAACUUGAUACUUUUGAUUUUUUAGAAGCUGAUAAUCUUGUGGUAGAAGAUUUAGAUAAUUGUUUGUCAAAUCUACAUGCAGCAAUGAAGGCGCAGUUAAAAGAAACUCAAGAACAACAAAAGAUCAAUGUGGUGUUAUAUCACAUGAUUUACUAUUUAAGAAUACACUCAAUAUCUAAUUAUAGAGGGUUUACCUUAAAAUUUUAUAUGUAACUUGUCUUAGCUUCCAAACUCCUUUAUUUUGCAUAAAAUUCAAAAUAUAGCAAAAUCCCUUCAAAACACAUUUUUUCCAUGAAGGGUUUUUUUUUCCCAAACUUUAAGAAUUCAUUAUUCUUGAUCUAACUGUUUAGUUUGUAUCAAAUUUAUAGGAUAGGUAGGAUUUAUCCUUAAAUUUGAUCACAAAAAAAAUGAAUUUUAAAUUUACUCUUGAUCUUGGCAUCUAAGGAAUCCUAGCAGAUGCUCUAAACUCUAAUUUAAAAGUACCCGACCACUAUUUUCUUAAUACCUCACGAAUCCAAUACUCAAAUAUCAUUAAACUUAUGUAUAAAGUUUAUUAACAUGAAUAUACACAUUCUUUGAAAUUUUGAGCCAAAAUCUUAUCAAAUUGUUCAAGAUAUAGCUCAAGAUACAACCACUAGUAAAUUGUGUUACUUACUACCCUUAGAUUGCAUGCACUGGCUUCAAAAUCCAAUAUCUUCUUUAAUCCAACUUAGAAUCCAGCAAAAAAUAUACAAAAAAUAUAGCUACAAAAGUGCUUUCUUUAAUUACAGUCAUCGAUCCUCAAUUGCCCUCCGUAUGCGUGCGUUAUAUCAAAAAGAGUGAAAGUAGCUCCCAAAUCAACACCUUAACUUUGAGCGCCUAUAUCUCCUUCAUAUAAAUUCCAAAUCAUACAAGAUUUAUACCAAAACCAUAGCCAAAAACCUAAAUUUGCUGAAUUUUGCCUUCAAAGCUCGAAUGGCCCCAAAAAACUAACCCUAAUCUCUAAUAUGGCCUGGGGCAGCCUACUCAAAGUCCAUUGGUCAUGAUUUUUGACCAAUAGGAAUAGAGAUUUUCAUCAUCCAUCUCCAUUCAUCUAUAUGAAUACCAUAAAUUUUCUUUUUGCUACCAAAAUUCUUUUCCAACUCUUUUUUUAUAAGAUUCAUUCAAUAUAUGACCUCGACACCAAAUUAAAGAACCAAAAUAAGACUUCAAGGAUCACCAAUGUCUAAUAAAGGUGACUCAAAAUAUUUAAAAUUACUACCAACAAAAUCAAUCUCAAAAGCCACUAUUAAAAGAAAAUAAAGUUAUACAAAUUCUAAUAGUAAUUCUUUGAAACAACCUCCUUUUAAAGUAGUAAUUUAACCACAUUCUACAACCAACUAAAAUCUAGUAAUAUGGCUCUCAUGAUGUUGUUAAGUAAAUUAUACAUUAAAUACAUAAUCACAUUAUUUUCAUAUAGUAGCCAAACCACAAUAUAAUAGUGGAUGUCUAUAGAAAGGAACAACCACCAUUCCACGUGGAUGACAAGGUAUAGUUACUUCAUCGCAUUAUCAAAAUUAUUAUCCUUAUGACAAGUUGGACUAUUGUAGGCCUGAAUCAUUUCGUAUUUCUAUACAAAUCAAUCUAGAUGCAUAUCAUUUACACCUACCGGAGUCAAUAAAAAUCUAUCCAGUAUUUGAUAGGUCUUUUCUUAAAUCAUACAAAUUAGUGGACGUACCAAGAAAAAGACAAGAGCCACUUCCUCCUAUAGAAGUAGACAAUAAUGAAGAAUUUGAAUUGUAAGAAGUCUUAGAGUCAAGGCCGCACCAAAAUAAGUUAGAAUAUCUUGUUCAUUAGCAUGGAUAUAAUAUUAAUGAAUAUAUAUGGCAACCAAUAAAGAAUCCUACAAAUGCAUCAAAGAAGGUGGAGGCUUUUCAUCGAUGACAUCCAUUAAAAUCAAAAUGAAGCUUUUUUUUAUAAAAGAAAUAAGAUCUAGAUAAGAUAACAUUUUACUUCCAAUCCUUGUUUGUAGCUUCUUUAUAUUUGUGAUACUUAGAAGAUGGAGAACCAAAAACAGGGGAUUCAAGUAAAGAGCCUUCAUUUGCUAAUCUGCUAGAUAAGACAUUCGAAUUGUUAAAACCUUCAAAACAAUGCAAUCAAGAUGAAGAUCCUUGAAAAAGACAUAUUUUUUUUCAAAUAGAUGAUAAGAUACAACGCAUUUGAUAUCACGACCUUCGAAGAGACUUCUAAUAUUUGGUAAUUUUAUGAGAGGUAGGAACGACACCUCAUGGAAUUUCAAAUAUUUUAUUUGAAGGAAGUUACGAAGGCCUCAACAAUGACCAAAUAAUAGGUUGGUAUUAUCGCCCUGAUAUGAGAUACUAUCGAUGGCUGAGAUGGCCUAUCAACUAUCUUCAAAGAGGACAAGGAUCAGAGUAUGUGACAAAUAUUAUUCGCUCCAUCUUUGAUUUCUUCAACAUAUGAAGUCUGCUCCUCGUAGAACUUGUACCUAGAAAAGAGAGUAAUAUCAUGGACAUACACAUAUAAGUCAAUAAUUAUUUGUAUAAAUAGGUAGAAGUAGAUAGAAAUAAACAAAAGUAAGUUAAUUCUAUAAUAUCUUCUAAAAAAACUUCUUAGAAGCUACAUAGAUGCUUCUUUGACUUUAUAGGUGUCUAUUAUUGACUUUUAGGUUAAAAACUUGGUUAAAAAAUUAACCAUGUGCCAUACAUGUUGGUAGCUUAAAAAACAAGCUAAUUAUGUGGCGCACAUAUAAAAAAACUUGCUUUGUAAGUCAAGGUAUAUAUCUUACAAAGUCAACACAUAUUAGAUGUCCAAUAGAAUAUUGCCAUGUAGGUCCUAGUUAGAUAAUAUAUAGAGAGACAAGAGUGAAGUCUUCUUGACUCUUAUCAAUUCCUUUCUUGCUUCUAGCCUAAUUUCAAGAGUCUUAAGUUUUCUUAUUUUCUGGAAAUAAGCCAUUCUAGUUUCUUUUUAAUAUACUUACUUUCUUAUUUCUAUUUUGUCACUUUUUCUUUGAUACGGAUUUCAUUGGUUUAUGCAUCAUUUUCUAAUUCAUGUCCUUGAUACUUCUUCUAAAAAUGAUAUGUCUUUUUUCUUUGUAUUUCUUAAAGGAUCUUUCUUAAGUAAUAUGUUAUGAACAAGAGAUAAGGUUUAUUUUUAUUUUGGGAUGCUUAGACAAUCUAAGAAUCCUUAGUAGCAUAUUACAAAAGCAAUUUCAAAUACAUCGUGCUUAUAUCCUAUAGAAUAUCUUUUAAUGAUAUGUUGGAGCUUAAAUAAAUCAAAUUACAAUUUUAAAAAAUACUAUCAUGUAAAUUAAUCAAAAUCAAAUAAGGCAAUAUGACUAGCAUCUUGAUAGAUCAAAAGAAUUAACAUUUUAUUUUCAUAUAAAACAAUCAACUCAUUUAUAUAAUAUAGAAUAAAAUAUGUGAGGAACAUUUUUUUGCAUUUAAACAAUUCAUUGUCAAAUUUGUCUUCAUAUUAUAAAAAACCAAUAUUGACAAAUCUCUUUAAAAAAUUGAAUCUAUAAAAUAUAUUUAAUAUAAUUAAAAUAUAUUUUUGAAGCCAUAUACAAAGCACAUAUUUGUACUAUUUUUAACCUCAUCUAUUAAUGUGAUAGUUAAAUUCUAUAAUUUUUGAAGUAGAAUACUUGGUUGUAGAUUCAAACAAUGUCUUUUAGUGGAUUAAGAUAGAUACAUCAUCAAAUAUUACUAUUAUAAUAAAUAUCAUUGCUAUAAUUGUCGAUGAAGAAAAAUAAAAUUGAAAAGAUAAAGAAUCUAAAUUUGAUGCACUUGUAAACAUUAGUUUUUUUUUUUUUUUUUUUUUUUUUUCUAUUUAAUCAAGUAUGUCUUGUAGUUAUUUUUUAAAGUAAUAAGUUUCUAUUCAUGAGUCUACUCAUGGUUCUAGUAAAGAACUUCAGCAAAGUUUGUUCAUUCAAGCUUACCUAAGCUUUAUAUUAAAAUUUUCUAUUUAUAAUAUCUCUAAAUCUUUGAUCUUGAGAUUUUUUCACUAUAAUCUCUCUUAUUUAAGCUUUAUUGCAAAAACUUGACAUUAUUAUUUUAGAUCAAGAUCCUUCUAAUUAGUUCUUAUGUGCUUCACCAUUAUCUAUCAUUGUAGUAUUUUUUAUAUUAUUUUCUAUUAUAUUAAUUGAAACAUCCAAUGAGCUCCUUAGAACACCUCUAAUUAAAUCUUUUCAGCCAAUGUAACAUUUAUUAAAAUUUGAAUUCCUAUGAGAAGUACUAUUUUUAUCUUAUAUUCUUACUUUGAUUAUAUUCUAUGUCAAACCUUUUAAGGUAGCACUGCUUAGAAUGUCAAGAAGAAUUUUUAAGAAUCAUAUUGUUUCUCUUAAAAGCAAUGUAUCUUUGUAUCUUAGAGUUGGACAAUAUAUUGUAAUAUCAUAUGAAUAGUAUGUCUUAACUUUCAAUUGUCUAAAGAUUUUACAAACAUUAGAGCUAUUAAUGAAUAAAGUUUUAUAUAAACACUAUUGCCAAUUAAGAUUGUAAAUUGUAUAGCUCGUAUAUCUUCUUUCUUAAUAUAAUUGAUAAAACUUUACUCAAUACCACAAAAAAUUGGAUAUUAUAGUUGGUUAGCAAUCAUUGUUAAUAGUUCUUUAAAGUGUUGUCCAUGUCAAUGCAAAUGCAUCAUAACUUCUUUACAUGACAUUUGCAUCUAUUCUUCAACUUAUAACUUUGAUUUCCAAUCUAUGAUUGAAAAUCAUGCCUUUAUAUACUUAUCAAUACUAUAUUCAACAAUAGAAAAUUCUUUGAUAUUUCAUACUUAGUUUAGAAUUGUGAGCCUUUGAAAGCAUGGUAGCUUGCUAACUUCUUUGUACUUGUCUAUGCAUGCAAAGGUAAAGUUUUUGUAUUUUCAAGGUACGUAAUCAAGUCUUUCUUUGGCAAUUUAAUCAAGGAGUUAGAUGUUACAACUAUAGAUACUUUAGUAUGUUGGUUUCAAUUAUAGUGACAUUCUAGUGUAGUGGCUACUACUUUGGAGUAGCAUUAUCAUUCUUCACAAUUUCAAAGGCUUCAAGUAUUACUUUAGAAGAAAUAGUAGAUAGAAAAUUGAAUUUAGAUCUAUGAGAUAUCAUAUAACUAAUUACAUAUCUAUAUGUGAAUGGUAAAGGUUCUACUGGAUUUAAGAAUAGUCUAGUCACAUGACUUAAGUUGAUGAGUCUAGAGCUUUGUUAGUAGCUUGCAAAAGAGGGCAAGAGAUAAAGUAUUUCAGGCUAUCAAUUUUUGAUAUGAUAAGAAGUAGUACAAUCCUCAAGUUGUUACAAUAAUAUUCUUUAUAAGCUUCUACUAUGUUCUCAUUGUUGCUCAUGAAACUUUAUAAAUCAACACUUCAAAAAUGGAUUAAAGGCAUUGAAAACCAAGAUGCAAAAGAUAACAAACAAUAAUAAUUUUAUUCUUGGAAAUACAUAGGGCCUCAACUACUUUGUGUUUUCAGGUUUUUAAAAUUCUCUUCUUAACAACUAAAUAGUUUACAUUUUUGUCUCAUUAUCUUAUACCUAAGCUGUUAUGUAUAUAUAUAUAUAUAUAUAUAUGACAUAUAUAAAAAUAUAUAUACAAAUCAUUCACUAUUUUAUUACAAAGAACUAAAUAAAUUGUCAAAAUUUAGGAUGGGAGCAUAAAGAAAACAUGCAUUCUAUACAAACAAUGAAAUUGAGUAGGAGCAGAAAUUAUAUAUGUACAAUUGAUAUAUCUUAUUACACUAAACCUAUCAUUCAACCAUGCAAUUAAAAAUGAAAACAAUGUACUUCAUGACUCAUCAACCAUCUGAUAUUAUCUUCUAUGCAAAAUUACAAUUAAAAAAAAAAAAUCGUUUCACAUGUAAGUCAAUUAACUAUUCUUCUAUACAAGUAGUUACUUCUUCCACUAAAUCUUCAACAUAUCAAUUAACUAGCUAGAAAAUAGGGAAUUUCAGAAACACAGAUCAAUUACAGAACUACUUUUAAUUUUUUAAAUGCCACAAAUCAAUGUCUCAAUGUGUUUGUUUUAAAUUUUAUUACCAAAUCUAUCAGUUGGAUGAAAAGUAUACACAGACGAAUGUACGAAGGACAGAUGAACGAACCGCGGUAGACGAAGCUGCACGUCGAAGUGGAUGAGAAGAUUGUCGAGAACGAAGUCUGAGUAUAACCUCAGAAGAAGAUUCCUGUUAUUUUGUUCAUGGUAGGGUUUUGGACUUGCAAGGGACGAGGCAUUGUCCGUCCUCUGCACCAGAAGCUCAGAUCAGGAUCAGUCGGACAGUGCCUUGCAAUUCUAAAAAAAUAUAUAUAUUUUUUUUUUUUUUUUUUUGCACUUCUUCCACGGACCGCUAGCAAAUUGCCAGCCUCCUCGGAUUGCUCGUAAUUUGGGAAACUUAAACCAUUACGGUACGCACUACAUUUUUCGCGAGUGUUUUUCCAUUUUCACCACGAAAUUGUUGACAGAUGUGUGCUGAGGCUCACUAUGGCGGUCGUUGGAGUUCUCACGCGAAUUUCGAGCUUUGUGAGAUGCAUCGGCAACUGAUUUUAGGCUUCUUUCAGAAAAACCUUGGGGUCCCUACAGUGACUUUUAUGGCCCGAGACUUGGAUGCCACGGCAUUAUUUCUACGUUGAUUGUCGUUUUUUAAUCCUCUCACUGGGCAGAAUCUUUGAACAUCUUCAUCUGCAUAUGCGCGAUAAGCCGGUGCCGCUAGAAGUUUCCGGGCAUCGUAAUACAUUUUCUCCUCGCUUAAACCCUAAUUUAGGCAAUUUAGGCAUUAGUACGCAGAAGAUGGGUAGAGGAAAUCUUGUGGUUGUGAGUGAGGGGGCUGGUCGUCGUUCCUGCGCCUGAGCUUACUACAGCACUUGGAUUGAGUGUAAUGAGUCGCUUCACAUGCUCGAGUAGGUUGGUGAUGGCAAUUGUUCAGAAGGUCACAAGUGGCAAAUAGCGAGAUGAGUGAAAUAUUUUAAUCUGGGUAUGUUGGUCAUCAUGAAGUUAUGGUCUUGGAUGGCAGGGAGAGCUGGGGAAUUGGAGGGGAUAAAUUAGGAGAACAGGAUACGACGUGUAGGAGGCGGUAAAAGUUGCAGCGAUGGGGCGCGGAGGGGGAGGUGGAGGUGCCGCUGGGAUUGGCGGUACUGCCAUGGGGGCGCCAAUUGCUCCUGCCCAUGCCUCCAUCAAUUUUUCAAAGCGGCCCUUCAUUGAGGAUGUCGGACCCCGCAAGAUGUGAGUUUUCUCUGUUUGUUGUUUCUGCUGCUGCGUACGAACGUGGGCUCCUGUGAACAUCUUUGAGAUUUUGGUACGUAGUUGUUCUCGAAGUAUCGAGUAGGGUAUAAUUUGGUUCUGUGGUUGCAGCGAGAGCAUUCGUUUUGGGACAAUGUCGAAGCAAGAUAUUGUCAAAGCUUCUGAGUUACACGUGUACGAGUCAAUGCUUUACACUAUGCCGGAAAGGAAUCCAGCUCCAUACUCAGUUGUCGACACUCGGCUGGUACGAGUCUUCCUUCACUACAACGUUUCCUCACAAUUUUGUCAAGACACAAUUGGAGAUGUAUAAUGGAGUGGGAUUGUGGAUACAGACUACGAUGGGAAUUAUGUUAUAAUACAUGAUUAUCCAAUUGAAUUCUUCUAUAUACGGUUUACAUGUUAACUAAUAUCCUGUUAUGAGCAGGGAACAACGAAUAAGAAGGGAGAGUGUUCUACUUGUUUUGGAAAGUUGGCCGAUUGCCCCGGGCACUUUGGACACACGAAGCUUGAGAUGCCAGUUUUUCACAUUGGUUAUCUUAAAAACAUUCUCCAAAUUCUGCAGUGCAUUUGCAAGGUGCUACCUCUCAGUUUUUUUCUUGAUGAUGCAUUGAUAUGUAAUGCAUUAGGAUGCUUGCCCCUUUUCUGUACGUUUUCAGUUUAUCGAUAUUGUGUCCAAUUUUUUACUAUAUUAUUUUUUAAAAGAGUUUGGAGGGGUUGUGAUCUGCUUGUUCUGUGAUUAAGUCCAGUUCAAGUGUUGCCGCAGUUUGCAGUAGUUGCUAGUUUUACUACCGUAUGAAGUAGUCAUGCUCAUCUAGUACCGACCUUUAUGGUAGUCAUCCUCAUUCUUUUAGAGGUUGGGAUCAUUGCAGUCAUGUGCCCGAAUUCUGAUGCCGGAGGAAGAAUGCAAAUUGAUUCUUCGCAAGAUGCGAAAUCCGCGGAUCGAGGUAUUGCAGAGGCGUGCAGUUUUGAAGAAGGUCAUCGAUAGGUGUAAGCGAGUGCGCGUUUGUACUCGUUGUGGAGAUUAUAACGGUAUGAACUUUUGACAGUGUAUCAUAUUAUUAUCGUAAUUAUAAACAUUGUUUUAUAUUUAUGUAUUCAUUCUGCUUUUAGCGCCGUUCUGAUCAACGACGCUGGAAGAUUUUGCUGUAACUAUAUUAGAGUGAUGGCAAUUAAUAUCUAAUUUUGUUACCAGGGGUGGUGAAGAAAAUGGCACAACCACCAGUAAAACUUAUUCAUGACAAGUAUGGCAAGGCUUUAGAUCUAAAAGAGGAGAUGAUUGUAUCACUGGAGGAUGCUAUGAAGUGCAAGCCAGAACUAAAGAAUUGUAUUAAUCGCGUUUAUGAUAACCUUGAUCCUAUGAGAGUGCUUCAGCUGUUUGAAUCUAUGAUUGAACAGGUAUUCUGAACUCUCUGCACGUGUUGUUAUUAUUGUUUUUAUUUUUAUUCUUACUAGCAGUAGUAGUAGUGUUGUUGUUGUUGUUGUUGUUGUUGUUGUCAUCUUUUCUAUUGUUCGUGAAUUUAGAGCUCAUACGUUUGUGAAGGACCAAGACGCACACGGUGUUACAUGUUUAUUUAUCCGUUUGGUGUGAGUAGGAUUGCGAGGUGCUUGAUUUAGCGGAAAGACCAGAAAAAUUAAUUGUAACGCAUUUGAUUGUGCCCCCGGUGGCCAUUCGACCUUCUGUGGAAAUGGAAUCCGCAGCUGGAAGGUGAGUUAUACAUGUAUAGUCUUGGAGCUCGGGCAGUUACUCAAACAAUUCUUUACUUCUUCUUAAUCAUAAAUUGCAGGGCUUGUGAGGAUUUUCGAUUAUUUUUGUUCAAAAUUUUCAAUUGGUGUGUUCUUUCUCAUUUGCUUAAAAACGUAGUGAAGAGCAUGGAGUGAACAUGAGAACACUCUUCAAGCUUCGUAUUCUUUUUGCUGAUUCUUUUGAUCUAUAGAGCAAAGAGCAACUUUGCGGACUGUGCUGUAACAUACUUGGUUGUUGAUCAUUGUGUUACUGGACUUAUUGAAACCAGCAAUGAAGAUGACAUUACAGUGCGGCUUUUGGGAAUCUUGAACUGCAACAAUUCUCUUCGUACCUGUGUGGAGCAAGGGUUGGCUGCAGAAAAAACAAUGGUAAUUUUUGAAUUUGAACCUGAAUUUGAAUGUGUAGUUUUAGUUUCCCUUUACACUGGGAACUGUGUAGUUAUGAUCUAAAUGUACACACUUUCUCAUUUUGCACUAAGAGUCAGCAUUCUUUCCUUAAUUAAUAAUUGAAGCAAACUUCUAUCACAAUUAUAUUCUGAUGCAAUUUAUUCUGACGAUGGCUGGAUGACUGGUUGAACAACUUUUAAUUUUUUUUGCCGUUAUCUUAUGUGGGCGGUGUAGUCAACAAUAUUUGCUUAAUCUAUUGACUGGUUCAGGAGCGAGUCAUCAUAUAAAACGGAGGAGGGCUGUCUACAUGCCUUAAUCAUGCUUAUAACCCUAUUUUGGGCGAUUAUUGUGUUUAUCAGGAAACCUGGGAACUACUUCAGUCACAGGUCUCACAAUUGAUCAACAGUGAAACACCAGUUCCUCGUUCUGAACAACCCACUUCUGGCAAGCAGCCUCGAGGUUUUGUGCAGCGUUUGAAGGGAAAACAGGGUCGGUUCCGUGGAAAUCUCUCUGGUAAAAGGGUUGACUUCACUGGCCGAACUGUUAUUUCACCAGAUCCAAAUCUGAAAAUCACGGAGGUUAGCUGACAUCGCCAUUGUUCAUUUCAGUUAUCAGCGCCAUUUUAAUCGUGUGUGACUUUACUUGAACUUUUAAUGCUGAAUUUGUGUCGAAAAGUGAGUAAUUCUUGUCUUUGUAUGUUCUGAAACAGGUUGCCGUCCCAUUGCUGAUGGCGCAGCUUUUAACCUAUCCAGAGAAGGUAUCUCGUUAUAACAUCGACAAAUUACGAGGGCGUAUUAUUAAUGGCAUGACAAAACAUCCUGGAGCCAACUUCAUAAUAUUUCCCGAUGGCAAUAAAUUGUAAGCUUGUGCAAAACCUUUCUAUAUUUGCAUCGGUUUUUGAAGUUAACAAAAAUCAUUAUUUGUAUAACUUCUUAUCUUAAACUUGUACCUAUCAGGUGCUUGAUUUUUUAAUGCUUUUUAAAAUGGCCAUAACAGGUACUUGAAGUUUGGUGAUCGAAGACGAUAUGCAGCUGAGCUCAAAUACGGUGACAUCGUAGAAAGGCAUCUGGAAGACGGAGAUAUUGUACUUUUUAACCGGCAACCUAGUCUGCACAGGAUGUCUAUCAUGUCACACAGGGUAAGAUCCUUAUUCUUUUAGAUUACAUGAUAAUUUUAACCUUCUUUGGAAAUAUGCUGCUAGAUGGAUCAACAUUGCAUCGUACUGGAUGUAUUUUUGUCCUUCCUGCCUUGUUAUUUCUGUUAACACCGGCUUUUAUUACAGGCAAGAAUUAUGCCAUGGCGUACGCUUCGAUUUAACGAGUCCGUUUGUAACCCGUAUAAUGCUGACUUCGACGGUGAUGAAAUGAAUCUGCAUGUUCCUCAAACUGAGGAAGCCCGAACUGAAGCGCUGAUGCUUAUGGGGGUACACUGCUCCUUUUUGACAUUAAGUCUUGUUAAAGCUGUCUGCUGACCUUGUCAAGAAAGUCUACAUUGAGGGUUUGAUGCCUCUCUUACAUCGUGUUUUUCAUGUACUGAUAGUCUUGUUUGCUUCAGGUGGCCAACAAUUUGUGUACUCCUAAGAAUGGCGAGAUAUUGGUUGCUUCAACACAGGAUUUCUUGACAUCUUCUUACUUGUUCACAAGGAAGGACACUUUCUACGAUCGUGCUACAUUUACACAGGCAUGCGUUUACAUGGGGGAUGCAGCAGAAAAUAUUGACCUUCCAACUCCAAGCAUUAUCAAGGUACUAAUUCCAUGCUCUUUGAUUUGCGAAGUUCAUCAUUUAAGGAAUGGGAAGUGGUGCUGACAUUUUUCUUCUUUACGAUAUUGGAAUUAAAUCAAUGUCAUUUGUAUUAAAUAGAAUGUAAGGGCGAUUGUUUUUCAGAUAUAUCUAGAGAGCAUUGCAUUGACGUUCAGCUGUGUGCAGCCCAUGGAGUUGUGGACAGGAAAGCAGCUUUUUAGCGUUCUCGUGCGACCAAAUGCUAAGACAAGGGUGUUUGUUAACUUGGUUUCGUAUGAGAAAAAUUACGAUAAAAAAGCCAAUAAAGGGUCCAUGUGUCCUACUGAUGGCUACGUUUAUUUUCGGAAUAGUGAGUUGAUAUGUGGGCAACUUGGCAAGGCUACAUUAGGUUUGUUCAUUUUGUCUUUAAGUUUACUCAUGCAUUUUGAAUUUUAAGAGUUUAUCUCUAAGUAGAUCUUUAGAUUAUCUGCAAUUGUGUCGUUAGUAUUUAAAGGUUUCGUUUGCUAUCCAUCUUUUCUGUUGAUAUAAGCAUGUAUUUGUGAUUUUCAUAUUGAUUGACACCAUAAAUAUGAUACACAUAGUCAGUUCCUUGUUGGUAGGCACAGAAUGAUUAGGGUUGCAACCUUUGUCAUCUUUUUUAUUGCUUGCGAUCGAUGUGUGUACUUAGUCUACCUGGAAUUCUUUUCUAUGAUUGAUAUUAUUAGAGGAGCUGAGACUUCAGAAUUGCAUCUUCCAUUUCGCAGGGAAUGGUAAUAAGGAUGGCCUUUUCACUGUUCUCCUUAGAGACUAUGGCAAUGAAGCAGCUGCGGUUUGCAUGAAUAGGCUAGCAAAACUCAGGUGGGCUUUGCUGUUAUGCACGCGUUAGUCGUUGAAUAUAUAUUCCAGUCGACUUAUCUCACUGUUUUGCACAUUGAAAUAAUAUUUAUUCAUAUUCACACACACACACACACACACACACAUACUUCAUCUCUAAUUACCUGAACCAAUGACUUGUAUAAAUCAGUGAAUCUUCAGCUCUUAACAUUUGGAUCAAUCUAUACAUGCAGUGCGAGGUGGAUUGGAAACCAUGGGUUUUCAAUUGGUAUUGAUGACGUGGCCCCUAGUGAUCGUUUGAAUCGAGAAAAGGAGAAGCAGAUUACAAAAGGAUAUAAUGCUUGUGAUCAACAUAUUCAGUUGUAUAAGAAAGGGAAAUUGGAGCUUCAGCCAGGUUGUAAUGCCGCUCAGACUCUUGAGUCUGCAGUCACAGGAGAGCUGAAUAAAAUUCGGGAGGCUGCUGGAAAUGUGGGCCCUCUUUUGCGUCUCUGUUAUGGUUUCAAUUUUAUUGUUCUUCUUGUGACCGACAUUGCCUUUUUAUGUGCCGUGUGUUUUUUGUGGUAUUAAGACCAUUUUGUAAUAUUCUGCAGGUGUGUAAAGAUGAGUUACAUUGGCGCAACAGCCCGCUCAUCAUGUCGGAAUGUGGAUCUAAAGGUUCUUUCAUCAAUAUCAGCCAGAUGGUUGCUUGCGUCGGUCAGCAGUCUGUUGGAGGUAAACGUGCCCCUAAUGGAUUUAUUGAUCGGACGUUACCUCAUUUUCCAAGGCAUGAUCGAACACCUCAGGUAAAGAGUGGAUUUUGUACGAGGCUUUUUGAUUUGAUGUUUUAGAUGACUUACUUCUCAUUUUGCUCGAUUGUACUGACAUUCUUUAUGCUUAUUUAAUGGUGUAAUAAUUUGAGAUCAUAACUUGCGAGUGCAGGGCAAGGGUUUUGUUGCGAACUCCUUUUACAGUGGGCUCUCUGCUACUGAGUUCUUUUUUCACACUAUGGGUGGACGAGAGGGACUUGUGGAUACCGCAGUACGUUUUCGGUGGCUCUCACUUGAUUCCUUUCAUAAACAUGUUUUGUUUAUGUAGCAAGUGCUUUCGGUUCGUCAACUUAAAUAUCUAUCAAGAUGAUGGUUGUAUCUUGUGCUUUAAUUUCUGAUAAUGUGGUGCUUUGCACUUUCCGUAAACUUUCUUGACCAGGUGAAAACAGCCGAAACUGGAUACAUGUCUCGUCGUUUGAUGAAAGCUUUGGAGGAUUUAUCUGCGCAGUAUGAUGGUACUGUACGAAAUUCGAGUGGAGGAAUAGUUCAACUUUUGUACGGAGAUGACGGUAUGGAUCCCGUAUACAUGGAGGGUAAAGAUGGAGCUCCAUUCAAUCUUGACCGGAUGCUCAUGAAAACUAAGGUACGACGUUGAACCCCUUUUCAUUGUUUUCAGUUGGUUUUUUUGAGGAUGGUUAUUAGAAAGUGACGAGGUUGCACGUGAAUUCUUUUAAAAUAGCGUAUUGACAAAGCUGUAGCUUAUCAAUCGUGCAAGUCUAUAUUUCUGAUGUCAUACUUGAAACUAAUUAGUUUCUUUACUUUGUUAAGUUGAUUUUAAUUUAAUUCAAUUUGUUUUCGGUACCAAUGCUAUUACGUGUUCACUUGAUUUUAAAUGGAUUUCUGAUGUUUAGCGUACUGUUUAGAAAUGUCAGGUUUCCAGGAUGUAAUGGAGAGAUCAAUGGAAGAACACCCUGUUUUAUUUAUCUUUUAAUCUUCAUGGAUACCUUAUGUUGUUUGUGAUCUUUUGGAUUAGGCAACAUGCCCUUCAUAUGGACAGCUCGGUCUCCCUCCUACUGAAAUUGAAAAGCUAUUCAAUGAGAGGCUUACAAAGCCAGAUAUGACUUCCGAAACAGUAGGCGCUUUCAAGACGUCAUUGAAAAAAUUCAUGGACUCUUGUAUCAAAGAUAACAUAUCAACACGGACCAAGCUGGGGUUGCCUCUUGACUGUAAUGGAGGUCCUGAUCAGACAUUGCUGGAAAGCACAGCUACCUACAUUUCUGGGCUUACCUCCCGGCAGCUGGAGGUCAUAAAUCUGCCUUCUAUGUUUUUUUCACUAUCUUGUUGAACGUGUAUGUUAAUUUCUCAUUUAUAGCUCAUGUGUGAUGGCUGAAGAUUUGUUUGUUGCAGGUGUUUCUGGAUACAUGUAUUAAAAGGUAUCAUAUGAAGCGUGUGGAGCCUGGCGCAGCUGUGGGAGCUGUUGGAGCGCAGAGUAUCGGAGAGCCUGGAACACAAAUGACUCUAAAAACUUUUCAUUUUGCUGGUGUGGCAAGUAUGAACAUUACACUUGGAGUGCCGCGAAUCAAGGAGAUCAUCAAUGCAUCGAAGAACAUCAGUACCCCCAUUAUCACCGCAGUACUCGUGAGCGGGAAUGAUGAGAAAGCAGCACGAAUUGUGAAAGGUCGCAUUGAAAAAACUACGCUUGGAGAGGUCUGAUCUUACAUUUUGCUUUAUUGAUGAUGCAUAGGUCUUUUGAUAUAUCAUCUGACGUUUUUUGAAUCUUAACUAUCUUGAAUUUCUUUUGUCGUUAGGUCAGUUUUAAACGUAUAUCUCUCACUGUCGUGACUGUUUAGUGGCGAUACAGUGUUGCAGUGUAUUAUUCCUUAAUUUCCUUUUAAUAGUUCGUAGUCUUUGUGCACUCUUUGCUGUGCAAGAGCACAAUAUUCGAUAAUCAUAUCCAGUGGAAGAAUGUGGAGUUGUCAUUGAUCUAGGUUUUUCUUAGCUUGAUCAGGGAAGGAUUUGAGAUUGAUCAGCUUAUUCUGAUGUCCUGGAGCAUUAUUUCUACUUGCAGGUAGCGAAAAGCAUAAAGACAGUGCUGAGGGCUAGUCAAGCAAUUAUUUCAGUAAAGCUCGAUAUGAAACGAAUCGACGCACUUCAACUUGACAUCAAUUCUGACACUGUUGCACUGGCUAUUGUCCAAACUCCUAAAAUUAAACUCAAGCAUGUGGUUAGUGCUGCGAGGGCACAUUUAUUAUGCUUAUAUUAUGUUAUUUUUGUGUUGUGUCAAAGCGAUUAGGGAAGUGUCUAGUGGGAUAAUUUCUUUCGUAAUCUAAUAGAGUAAGCUUCUUCUAAAUUAUUUGACUUGAUGACCAGCUUGCACAUUGGUUGUGGAUAGGAAAGGAAAUGUUUUAAAUAAAUUUGAUUUUAGGGUUUAGAGAUCCAAGAUUGAUGGCCUCAUUUGGAAUGGCAGAAUAUUAGAAUUGUGGAUCGCGACAAGCUUAUUGUCAUACCACCGGAUCAGGACAAGGGCAAGCUGUACUUUUACCUUCAUUCGCUUUGCAAUAUGCUCCCAAAAGUCAUUGUGAAGGUAUGAUGUUGUUCGAGUUUACCCUUUUCUAGGGAGAAUGUCUCAUAUCUCUUUCUGCCUCACUUCAUGAUAUCCUUCGUUUCAAAAGCUUCCUUGUUUUCAUUACUUAAGGCAUAUGAAUGUGUAUGGGCAACUUAUUAUCACGUUUUGUUACUGUAGUAACAAUGUUUUUGUAGCUAAUCUGUUGGUUAUCCAUAGGGCAUACCAUCUGUUGAACGAGCUGUUAUCAACAAAGAAAAAGGUGUAUACAAUCUUCUAGUGGAAGGGUAAGAAGCUUCGUCUGUAUCACAUACUUGAUUCGUCUCGCUUAUGGAAGUUUCUAUGUGGCAGAAAAACUUGUUCAGGGCAUCAUUGUUCCUCUAGUGAAUUGGAAGUAAGGCAUUGAGAGUCUGAAUUCGAUUUUUUUUCGUCGAUCAGGACAAAUCUGAAGGCUGUUAUGGGCAUAUCUGGAGUUAAUGGGAAACUCACCAAGAGCAACCAUGUCAUAGAAGCAGAGCAGACGUUGGGAAUAGAGGCAGCAAGGAAUGUUAUCAUUGAUGAAAUUCAGUAUACUAUGGGCAGCCAUGGAAUGACCAUCGAUGCACGGCAUAUGAUGUUACUUGCCGACGUUAUGACAUACAAGGUCAUUCAUCUUACUCUUCGAUUUCUCUCCUGUUACUCAAACUUCAACCUAUAUGUACAUUUUCUCAUUUUACCCAAAAUUGUAAUAUCCAAGAGUUUUAAAGACUCAUGUUUCUGCAGUGUCUAGUGUGAUGCUCUGUCCUGGGGGAUUUCCUCCACAUAACUGCACUGGUCCGAUAGCGUGAAUUGUAGCGUCUCGUGUCUGUGAAGAUCUCCCUCUUUUUUAAUUCGGCGUUCAUAUUGCACGUCUUUAUUGAGUUGUGUAUACUGCCUGGUGUUGAUCGGAACAGUUCGUCGGGUCGUUAUUAAAUUCUUGAUUUGGGUGUAUACUGUUUACGAUGUCUGGUUCCUAUGCCCUUUGUUAUACAAGUUCAUUUGUAUCAUGAUGACUUUGUGAAUCAGCUUUGCAUGCAUGUAUGAGUAUUCUUUGAGAAGUUAUCGGUGGUAUGUCUGGUUUGUCUAAAACCUUUAUACUAUGUGCUUUGAUGUCAUUGACACAGGGUGAAGUUCUUGGAAUCACAAGGUUUGGUAUAGCAAAGAUGAAAGAUAGUGUGCUUAUGCUGGCAUCGUUCGAGAAGACCACUGACCACUUGUUUGAUGCUGCUAUUCACGGGCGUGUUGAUAAGAUCGAAGGUGUUAGUGAAUGUAUUAUCAUGGGAAUUCCGAUGCCCAUAGGAACUGGUCUUUUCAAGAUCCGCCAGAAGUAAGCUUUCUGCUCGUCUUAUUUCAACCCAACUGUGUAUCAAUUUGUAAUUUACUAAGCAGAGUUUUUCGUUUAACUUCAUGCAAUCUUCAUAUGUUUGUGCAGGGUGGAGAAACUUCCGAAAUUGUCUUAUGGCCCUACGCCACUUUUGUCAUAACGUGUUGAAUCUAAGGAAAUCUUUAUUGUUGCAUCUAAGCAUCUUCUCAGUUGAAUCUGCUUUGACAGCACUGCAUACAAAUUAAUGCUUGUAAGUUCUUUGUCCCUUCGUCUAGAGUCAUACGGAGGAGAGGAUUCGUUUUAUUGUUGGAUCUGUUUAUCUGUAGUUUAGUGAUAUAAUCAGACUAUGAUCAUUCUGUACAUCGUGUGGGCCCUUACCCAGUCUGAAUGGAAUGUUGUUAUCAUCCUUAAAAGCCCAGUUGACCUGUAUACUGAACAUAUGACCAAUUAUGUCACCUUGAACGUUUAAGGCUAAAAUUUGUGAUCCUUAGUUCAGGUGUUAUCUUAAUGAGCAGUAUCAAUUUUUCGUAAUGACGUUCUGGGAAUAUUAGUUCUAGAUCUCAUAGUUGAAACAUUUUGUAAUCACAUGUGCAGGUUGUACAAGUGGUUCCUCAUUGACUGGAGGUGAGUGAACUUCUGAGUGUACAGAUUACGGCUGUAGUAUUAGGCGAGGAUAGGACCAUUUCAUUUAUAAAUUUAACGAGAUUGCACAUGUGGAUUUGGGGAGGUGAUGAUAAGUAUUUUAGGUUGAACUAGGGUAUUCUUACACCUGAAAUAUUUCAGCAUAUAGAUGACUACUGGGAGUAGAUUAUUGUUACUAAUUUCUAGAUUUGAAAUCCAAAGGAAAGGAUUCACUUACUCCCUACAUUGGUACAUGGUUUUGGCCAGAUAUUGUGCUUGACGUGAGGCACAUAGGUUACAUCUAAUGGGCCUGUACAAGUCAGCUUAUGAUACUGAUUUAAUAAAUCGUUAUAGAUUCGAACCCUUACUUCACAACUCGUCGUUGAUUGGUUUGAAAUACUGUACGUUGGUAAUGUCCUAUUAACUUAAUACCGUCAUUACUUUUGAAAUCUUGUUGUACCUCAUAAAACUGUACCUGGUGGGCUGUUUUCAUGCGUUCCAUUCUUUUCAGAUUGAUGUUGCGUCAUGGAGCAAGGUGGAUACAAUUGUUUCAACGAAACAAAUUUGAGAGGAUUGGGGAAGUCGAAAGUUUCUUGGUUGACUCACCUGUGAUUUGUAGUGUUAAAUAUAGUAUUACUUUUGAAAUGGCAAAUCACUGGGGUCAUCUAUCAGCAAAAGCCUUUCCCUGACUGAUCUUAAUCAAAAAUCUUUAAACUAAACUAGUCUCACGCUGUUCACUACACGAAUAAAGAUUCUAUGCAUUAUUCAUUCAGUCUUGUUUUCAACUACGAACCACAGCUCAAAUUCUUUGACUGGAGAUGCAUGACAGUUGAUGCUGGAUAAUAUUUUUCACGAUGUUAUUGUGCCGCAAUGAAUUUAGUUGAAUACUCAAAUUUUAAUUGAUAUAUAUUUUUUAAAAUAAUUGUCCAAUAAAUUGAUUGAGAUUCAUAUAAUAUUAUUUGUCAUAUCAUACUAGUGCAUAUACACAUACAUUUUAUGUAUUAAUGGUAUUGCUUAUGCCACCAUAGUUUUUGUUAAUGCCACCACAACCCCCCAUCCACCUCAUCACCCACUCCUUUUGUCAAUGGUAAAUAGAAAGUACUAUUUUUAAAAUUAUUUGGUUGUAUUUUAUGUAUUUACAUUCUAAUUGUAAUAUUUUAUAGAUAAAGGUAAGUAAUAUUUCAUAAACAUAUGCUAUUAUUAGAUUUGUAAUUAUCUUUUUAAAUUUUUAAUAAUAAAUUUAAAAUAAAUUAAAUAUAUUCUUUUUAAAAUUUUUAAAAUUUAAACCAAUUUAAAAUUUAAAAUAUGUUGAAUAGGUGGCAAGUUGCAGUGGUAGUAGCAAUAAUUGUGGUGGCAUUAGCAAUACCCCAUAUUAAAGGCAAUGGUGUUUGUUUAUAUGUAUUCAUCCAAAGUGCUAUCCAUCUCUCCAUGUAUCCAUCCAAUUAUCAAUUCAUCUAAAAAUUUCACCAAAAUUAUUAAACAAUUCCUACUUCAUUUAUGCAUUUCAAUAAACAUAUAAUUUAGAAAAAAGACCUAACAUCCAACUUUAAUACAAAAAAUUGCAUGCACUACAAUUGUAUUGUGCAUUUAUGACAUAUAGGAGACAUGACAUUAUAUUAUUUUAGUCUUAUUGCUACAAUGUCGUUUUGAAAAAAAAUAUCUAUGUAACAAUUGAUUUCCACCUCUCUCAAAGCUUUUAAAACCCCAUUGAUUUAACAUAUUGUCCUUGUUGCACAACAGCAAACUCUAAUGCUAUUACAUAUAUAUUUAUAUACACAAUCAUAUCCAUAGUCUUACACAUUUCCUUACACAUAUAAGUUUGUAAUUUGUAAAAAAACAAUCUUUUAUUAUAAUAUUUUUGAAUUAGUAGAAUAAUAUGCUCCAAAGAUUAUUUUAUUUUAUUUUAUAAAUUUAUUAAUUUAUAUAAAUUUAGUUACUUAUCGCUAUUUAUAGAUUAGCACUUGAUGGGAAUCGUUCAGGGCAAUUCAGACGGGUGCAAUAGAAACCCCGAGGCGUUCAGACCCGGCCCUGGAUGUCUAUCCACCAGACCUGGCCCUGGAUGUCCACCCAGCAGACCCGGUCAAUAAUGUCCCGCCCUAGAAUCUUCAUUUCGAUCAAGAUCUCCAGGAGAGUCAUAUCUACCAAUGUGCCAGGCAUCUCGCCCUUGCUAUCUCUCCCUUCCCAAACGCUUUCGGCUCUGAAGCAACGAUCCUGAACUCCAUAGCCAUAGUCGUGGCUGCAGCUUGAUUUGCAUUUGCAGGGCAGGGCUUGGUUACGUUCCUCGCCCCCGCACCUCCGACCUCGUUUCCCUCACUGCAAUCGUCUUCUGUUGAGCUGUGUAUCUCGUUGUCCCUCUGCUGUUGGUCGUUUCCAGCUCGUUCUUGAUUACCAGUGGCCUCGGAUUCCAUCCCUUAGGGUUUCGGGUUUGAUUACGCGGUGAAUGCUGCUGCGAUGAUGCUGAAGGAGUGAGGAAGGCUAUAGCGAGGGCGACGGAGGGUUGUGUGUUCGUGCUGUAAAGCUUUGGAGGCAGUGGAGUUUGGAUCUGGAGGGGAGACGAUGAGUUUGACUCUGUAGGGGGGACGUGAUGUAGGGGUGUCGAGGAUGGGCAGAGGUGAUGGACGGAGACACGCGGCGGGAUUUUGGAAUUUUUAGGUUUCAAGAGGGUUGACGGUCGGUUUUCACGUAGGAGCAGCAUCCUUAAGGGAGUUUUGGAUCUUGGAUCGUUGGCUUGGGGGUGAAGAUUUCUUUCACAAUGGGGAGCAGAUUGAGGUGCGUUCAAUUUGGAUCCCUGUUCGGUUUUGACAACGAGUGGCUUUAGGACAUGAUCCUGCAUCUAGAUAUUUCAGAAUGUCUUGCUCUGCCUUCCAUGAUUUUGUCAGUCUGGAUCACUUCUCCUUACUAGCAGUUUAGGCGUCUCGGUAGCAGGCCAGUGUUGAUUAGCUGUUCUCUUGAGAGUCCACUCUUCUGGGAAAAUUUUACCUUGUCGUUGGUGAAUGCCAUUUUUUUGCCCCAUGAUGCGUGAUCCGCAAAUUGCAGUUGCAGUCAGGAGCAUUCCUUCAAAUAAUUCCGAGUUGGAGUGCUGUGUUACUUGAAUUAAUUGAUACGUGUUUUAGGAAGCAAGUGUGCAUAUGUUUUGAGAGCUACUAUUCUCUUUAUCUUAGUAGAAAAAUAUUCAUUACGAAUAAUUAUUAUCGUAUUACUCUAUGACAAACUAUAUUAGAAUAUUGGGCCCCAAAACGGAAUGUUGUUCAACCUUCGGUGUCACUUUUAAUAAAAAUAACCCUGAAUUUUAAUGUGGUGUUUACUACUUGAGACUCUGCGAGUUUGUCUCAUGUGUGGGCAUGGCUUUUUCAUCGAAAAUAAUUCUACUCCUUUGCAACUAAUCCGAGUUCAGAGCCAAGGCGGGUAAAGUUGUAUUGCACCGAAGUGGGUAUGUAUCUGGGUUGAUCUGUAGCUAGCUUUGGUGGUAUCCGAUGUGCUGGUCAACCUUCAAAUUCACUAAUUGUCCGUUCGAAUGCGACACUACGUUGACAACAGGUUCUAGUUUACAAGGAAACUUCUAGUAAUAUUUGUGGACGUCUGUUUGUUGCACUGCAGGGACAUGAUACGGUCCAUUCGAGCUUGUAAAACUGCAGCUGAGGAGAGAAGUGUAGUUGCAAAAGAGUGCGCCUUACUUCGAAAUGCUUUUAAAGAUAAUGACCAGGAUUAUCGACACCGCAACGUUGCCAAGCUUAUGUUCAUCCAUAUGCUGGGCUAUCCCACUCACUUUGGUCAGAUGGAAUGCAUCAAGUUGAUCGCUGCAGGCUCCUUUCCUGAGAAAAGAAUUGGUUACCUGGGUCUCAUGUUACUGCUUGAUGAGCGCCAGGAAGUGUUGAUGUUGGUUACCAAUUCUUUGAAAAAGUAUGACACUGUUAUCUUCCGUCCUAUUAGUUGCUAAUGUGAUGAGUUUAUGGUUUAGAUAUAACCCUAAGUACAUGAAAAAACUGGUAACUCAUGCCUGCUGUACUAUCCUGAAAAACCUCAGUGGUUCUUGAAGAAUUAAUUCAUGCUUUUCAUGUCAAUGUAGUGUAUUUUUCACUGGAUUAGUACGUCAGCGUGAUUGACAUUUUCACGCGUGAUUGUUGCUUCUGCCGCAGUGACUUGGGCCACACCAAUCAGUUUAUUGUUGGGUUAGGACUUUGCGCUCUCGGCAAUAUUUGUACCGCUGAAAUGGCUAGGGAUCUUGCUCCAGAAGUUGAAAAACUUUUACAAAGCAACAACUCCUACAUUCGUAAGAAGGUUGAGAAAUUUAAAUUCUUUCGUAAUAAUUAUGUUCAAUUAGGAGAGCUAAAUAACAUUUAUAAUUCGGUUGUGAUAAAUUUGAGUUCUAUAUCUUCAUUAGCGCGGGCUUACUUCGUCUUAAAAAGCUUUGAGGCUUCUUGCAGCCAUCACUUUGCUACACCCAUGUAUCUGCAUGACAGUAGGAAUCAUCUUCUUUCCAGGUGUGUAGAAGCAGUGAGCUUAUUGUCCUCAUUUGUUUGGUGGUGGUUGUAUGGUCUUGUAGGCAGCGUUGUGUUCCGUGAGGAUCGUUCGGAAGGUGCCGGACCUUGUUGAGUAUUUGACGGUUCCAGCUACAGGACUUCUCACAGACAAGCAUCAUGGGGUUCUGGUAGCAGGAGUAAAGCUUUGUACAGAGCUUUGUCAAUCCAACGAGCUAGCCCUUGAACAUUUUAGGAAGGUGUGUGCAACUGUGUCGCAUGUUUUCAAACCUAGUUUGUCGAUCAGGAUCUUAUUCCUUCCUGCGAGGAUUUUUCUCUUUGAUGUGCCUGAGAUAUACUUAGUUACUUUCACGGAAGAUUGUUACAAUAUUAAUACUAUUGGUUUUCCAAUUUAUGUUUUGUUUGUGCAGCAUGUGUCGACAAUGGUCCGGGUGCUGAAGAACCUGGUUGUCAGUGGUUAUGCUCCUGAGUAUGAUGUCAGUGGAAUUACAGACCCCUUUUUACAAAUCAGGCUUCUUAGAUUGCUGCGCCUACUUGGGAAUGGUGAUGCCGAUGUCAGCGAUGCAAUGAGUGAUGUCCUUGCGCAGGUAAGUAGUCGACACGACUUUAUCUGCACUCCGACAGCCUCCUCCACUCUCCUAUAUCUAGUCUUGUAAGCGUAACGAACGUUUUGGAAAUUUUUCUUGUAGGUUGCAACGAACACAGAAAGCAACAAGAAUGCGGGCAACGCUAUUUUAUACGAGUGUGUACAGACAAUCAUGGCCGUAGAGGCUAUUGGAGGCCUUCGCGUAUUGGCUAUCAACAUUUUGGGUCGCUUUUUGGCUAAUCGUGAUAACAAUAUAAGGUAUAGUUUAUUUUGACGUCACUGUCUUCACUUUGGUUUCUUAAGGCGCCAUGCUUAAGAAAGGUUUCUCUCUCUCUCUCUCUCGAGGAUAUGGUGGCAUUCAGAAAAUUCAUUUUUAUAUUUGAUUCUUUUUACGUGUUGUUUCUCUGCUUUAGAGGCGUUUACAGAACUGCAUAGAUGUACUCUUUUAAGUCUUGCGUCAUGAAUGUGAAAUAAAUUGCAUUGCCCCUGUGAACAUUGGUUGCAGAUAUGUAGCAUUGAACACCCUUGUCAAGGUCGUAUCAGUCGAUACUCAAGCCGUCCAGCGGCAUCGUACGACGAUUGUUGAAUGUGUGAAGGCAUGAAAUCCUCCCCUCUUAAUAUCAUGGUGUGAUUUAAUCGACGAGUGUUCGCCCCUAAUUUUUUUUAUUCACUGCUAAGUGCCUUCGCCCGUCUGCCGUAAUGAGUAUGUGCCUAAGUGCAGGUUUUAAGGAUCUGUAUUUGGGUAGGAGUGUUACAAGCACUGUUCUGUCAGUGAUUGUGUCUGGGCUCAUGGUUCAUGUUGAUCGAUUAUUGAUUUCAUCUAUUAGUAUGGAAUAAAAAGUACAGAAUUGACCUGACUAUAUUCUGUACAGGAUUCAGAUAUUUCCAUUAGAAGACGAGCUUUGGAGCUUGUCUGUGCUUUGGUGAAUGAAAACAACGUCAAGGUUUUAACAAAGGAGUUGGUUGAAUAUCUGAAAGUCAGUGAUCCUGACUUUAAGGGAGACCUCACUGCAAGGAUAGCUGGACUUGUUCAAAAGUAGGGCAUCUAUCACGUUCGUGGAACUUCUGUUAUCAUGCAACAGUUGUCUGCGUUCAACUUUGUGAGGGGCUUGACUUUUAAUAUGGUCUGUGGUGUUUAAUUUGCUUAAGACACGCUGGCGUGAAAGUUGUGUAGAGACACUAAGUUUGUAUACGUCUUGCAGAUUUGCGCCAAACAAGCAGUGGUACAUUGAUCAGAUGAUAUUGCUCAUGGUUGAGGUAUGCAGUUGCAGUUUUCCAUUUGACGCAUGUGAUGACUUUGUAUACUUCAUAGACCCCUGCGAAUUUCUCGGUUAACCUCCGAGUGUUUUUCAAUUAGGCACAAUAUUUUGAGGUCGCUCUGUUGGUAGAUGGCAGGAAGUAAAGGGUUUUAGUAAGAUUGGAUUGGGAUGUUGGAAGUCGUCCUCCCAGUUCCAUUCUUGGGUGAAGAGUAUAAUAAGUGGGACAGGGUCUGGUUACGUAACGUUUCCAAGCUUAUGGCUACUUUUUGUAACAUCAAAGUAUUUAUCUCAAUUCAAACGGAGCAGUCCUGUCUGGGUAUACCUGACUGCUCAAUGUAUCAAUAAUGAGUCUUUGAUGUCUUGUACAGGCUGGGAAAUAUGUUACCAAUGAAGUGAUCAGGUCUUUGGUAGUCGUUAUAAGCAAUGCAAAUGAUCUUCAAGGCUAUGUUGUUCGAACCCUUUACCGAGUAUUUCAAGCGUGGGAUGGGCAGGUAUUGCUUUUGGUCUGAAGUUUUAACGACAUGAUAAUCGAGUAUGCCAAUGCAUUGCCCUCUUUCUAUCCGGCAAUGGUAACCACGCUCAUUCUUGUGAGUGCAGGAAAGUCUUGGACAAGUCACUGUUUGGUGUAUUGGUGAGUAUGGAGAGUUUUUAAUUAACAGUGCUAAUGAAUUGGAAGGCGAAGAUCCACUCACUGUAAGUUUUUUUUCUUAAUUCCUUUUAGAUUCACUUAUCUAUAUGUGUAUAUGGGGAAAUGGAUUCAGCUCGAAUUUGUGCUUUCAGUCAUAUGUUCUUUAUACCAUCAGGUUUCUAAGUAUUAAAUGGAAAAGAAGUAAGUAAUGUUUGCAAUAAUUACAUCGUACCUUGUCUAAAAUUCAUAUGUUUAUUCUGCUGCAUAUUUUGAAUGACUUUGAUUUGUAAAUUUGAGGGGUAAUUCUCGAGGAUAAACAUGUUGUGAUUUCAUGCUUCAACAGGUUGCAGAAUCAGACGCUGUGGAUGUUGUUGAAAGUGUCUUAAAAGACUCGAGAGUAACACCCACCACAGUAGCAUUUGCACUUACGGCGCUUCUGAAACUCUCAACUCGUUUACCUACCUGUGCAGAGUAAAUCACAGACAUAGGACACCAUUCAUUAAUUAAUGAGCCUUACGUAUUCAUGAUAUUGUUGUCUUGAUGAGAGUUUCCAAGUCAUACUAUGACCAUCUUUUCAUUCUUGUCUUUUUGUCUUUUUAAAUUUUUGAUUUUCGUUUCUUUUUACCUCUAUUUCUUACUUCACUUCCUUUUUUUCUUUCUUCCUUUCUUCCUAUCGCAGACAUCAUAUUUGUCUUAAUGCUCUUUUGUGUUCGUUUUUCUGCAGCCGCAUCAAGAACUUGAUUUUAGAACAUAAAGGAAGUUUGGUACUGGAGUUGCAACAACGGGCUAUUGAAUUCGGGUCAAUCCUUACCAAGCACAGUGAAUUGAAGUUAGUUUCAUCACCUAUUCUACUGUUCAUUUCUUGACAUGUAUGGUGCUUGUAGAAAGAAUUAUACACUUUCAGAUAGGGUCAUCAGGUACGUCACCUUUGAGAUUGUUGUCAGUACCAAAUCAUCCAAUAGAUUGUGUUUUUUAAUAACUCUACUCGAUGGGAUUGAAUUCUCAAAGAAUCCAACCAGGAUUACUGCCACUGAACAAUACUUAUGGAAAUCCAUUGUUCUAUCAGUUGUGCUUAGUCAAUGGUUAUCUGUCCUGAGUAUUCAUGCUCAUUGUUGCUUGGUUCUUGAUGUUAUUCUCAGGGCAACACUUUUGGAGAGGAUGCCUGUUUUGGAUGAAGCUACGUAUUCCGCCAAGAAUGAAAUGGGCGUUGAUGGGCAACAAACUGCUGCUGCUGUAGCAUCGGAAUCUGAUGCUAAUGGGCACUUGAAACAACCAAAUGGAAUUGGAAAACAACCUGCUGCUACUGCCAACCUUAUGGAUCUACUUAGCUUUACUGAUGAGCAGCCAAGCACUUCAUCGAACUCCUCAGGAAAUGCCUUGUUGGAUCUCCUUGGUAAUGGUCCUUUGGAUGGCUCUAAUUCUCUUACUUCUUCAGGUAAACUUCGUGACACAAUUUUAAUUCGAUAUCCAAUUGUGCAUCCUUGAUUUCUAAUUCCAGUUAAAGGUGCAUCUGUAAUCUGGUCGAUGAAGCCGGGAAUAGUUUCUUUCUUAUGAUUUUGUUUUUUUUUGGAGUCCUUCCAAGUCCAUGGUUUUCGUAAACUAAGCUUGAUAUUAUUGUUUCACAGCUAAACACUCAGCAGGAGGGGCCGACAUGUUGUUGGACCUUCUCUCUCUAGAUGGGCCAGCUCCUCCUACAUCUGCUCCUACAUCUACUGCUGCAGCUCCCCUGGCAGGUCUACUGGAUGUUGAUCCUCUUGGAAAUAUUCCGUUGGGUAACCUCUCUCUCAGUGGAGGUACCCCUAAAGGCCCGCCCGCAGUUGUGGAUCCCUUCGCAAAUCUUACAUCUACAGCAAUGCUUGCAUCAGUGCCUUCUCCUGAUCCUGCUCCUGGUGAGUCAAACUUGCUCGUUAAAAUUAUACCUAGUAAACUGUUUUUUGGGUGUGCCUGAGUCGCCUCCUCUCUUUUUUACAUCUGUAAAUCCCGAUGUAGGUAGUGGCCUGAGGUCUUGAUUCUCAACUUAUGAAGUUUGUUCGAAUUGUGAUUCUUUUUCAGGGUUUCCGACCAUUGUUGCCAUGCAAACAAGUGGACUAAAGAUCUCAUUCGACUUCACGAAACCUGCAGAUUCACCUAAAACUACUAUCAUCAAGGCCUUCUACAGUAACUUGUCAUCAAAUCCUUACACAGAUUUUGUCUUUCAGGCAGCAGUACCAAAGGUUAUUGUCUUUGCUCUUAUCAGAAAUUGGAUGUUGAGAUUUAAGUCUCUUAUACUUUAUACCACUUCCUACGAUUUACUUCCACUUGUUCAUGUUCUUAUUACUAUAUAUAUAUAUAUAUUUUUUUCUUAUUGCUUAUAUUUUUUUGGGAUCCCUUACUCAUCUUGAAUAUUUUGGGUCUGGUCAGUUUCCAUCCUUUUGUUUAAGCCAGUCGCACGUGGAAAUAGCAAUUUUGUUAAAUCUUACAUUGUAUUUUUCUUGAAGAAUCUAAUGUAACACUUUGGACCAUUUACUGCAGUUCAUGCAAUUGCAGUUGGAGCCUGCUACAAGUGGAAUUCUUCCUGCUAAUUCAACCAACUCAGUCACACAAUUGAUCAGACUCACCAACAAUAUGCAUGGGCAGGUACUAUUCGUUCAGUGCUUUUUCAACUUCCUUUUUUACAUGUGUUGGUAAACCUUGAUUUUAGGUGCUCCUCACGACCAGCUUGCUCACUUCAGCGUUCUUACAUGUGUUGAUAUUGCAGAAAGCUUUAGUCAUGAAGUUGAGAGUGAGCUACAAGGCAAAUGGAAACAAUGUACUAGAGCAAGGGCAAGUUAAUAACUUCCCUGCCGGGUUGUAGUAAUUUUAUAGUUCUAGGUUAUAACACAGAGUUGCGCUAGGUUUUAGGAACCAGCUGACAAGUGUUUUUGUCUAGCAGGAGUUGUUUUGAGAUGUUGAGUCUAGGGCUGGGCUCUCAACAACUUAUUGUCUUCCUAGAGGGCGGUAGAUACGUGCACAUUGUAGACAGGUUUUGGUUAGAAAAUCAUUUGAAGUGAGAGCAUGUGCUUCUUGGCAGGAUCAUACAAAGUGGAAGCACAGUCUCUUGUAUUGUUUACGAAAGCUAGAGAUUUUGUAGGGCGUUAUCAGUAAGCAAUUUUGAUUAAUCAUAAGGAAGAACUUCGCUUCAUAUGCUAACGGCAUGAAAGCCCAGUGCCAGCGAUCUACUCCUUUUGAGUGCUUCUGACCAGAAACGCUCAGUUACCUUGAAAAUCCUGAGGCAUCAGGAUUAACGUGGUUGUGGUGUUCUACUCUAUACGUGGCUUUUCUUUUUCGCAUCCACUACUUUCUGGCAUGUGGAGAUGCUCGAUUUUGCUUUUAGUAGAACUAAUAACAUAACCGAGUUGUCUUCGUUUUCUUUUCCGUGCGAACUCUUAAUAAGUGGAUUUACCAGUUAAGGAGAAUUAAUGGCGACGUAGGUCCUCUUUCUAAUGCUUUAUCGAUCUUGUCUUUCCCAACGUAGUCUAAGAUUCAUUUCUUCUUUCUGACAAUGUACACAAUCAAUUGUAUUGUGUCGUUGUCUACGUCAUUAAGUGAUCCAUGGCAUUAUGAACAUACAAUACAAAUGUCAGCAAUAGUAAAUUCAUUAUCUCUCCACCUAUCCACUACUUGCAACUUGGCCAUGAAUUAUCUUAUAAACAAUUCAAACUGACUGAGACUACCCAUAAAUUUUGAUUAAUGGUCAACUGAUUGCUCUUUCCAAAAUUGAACUUUCUCAAUUCUAUGUAUGAGUUCAAAGAAUCAUUCUAGUAGUUUAUUCAAUUGUGGGCCUCGAACAAGGAAUAUGUCAUCCAAUAAAUCUCCAAAGAAUAUUAACAUGGCCCAAUGGGCCAAUAAGAAAGUAUUGAUUGAAUUAAUAAUUUGUUUUUUUAUUACAAAUAAAGUUAGUUUUCUGUAGAAUAUGUUUUAAUUUUGAAGUUUUUGCACGGUGAGAGGUAAUCUUUUGUGGGCCAUGUUACUCUAUUAACACUUCCCACAAAUCUUGCAAGAUCUUUUUCCUCCUUAUGAGUAAGAUAUAUCCUUUCUUUUCUUUAUUUUUUUUUGAAAGAAACGGUGUUCAUCAAUAAUUCCAAUGUACAAAUCGAGGUCCCUUUCAAGUUACUCGGUGGCGUGACAAUCUCCAGCGGCGAGAAACCAGCCCACCUGUACAAUUUUUUUUGUUUUUGCACCAAGUGUCGGUAUAGUCAUCUGCGAUUGCUCAAUUUUUGUCUGCACCUUACGUAUCAAAAUAACUAAGAAUAUGGUUCCUUCUGGCCAUACCGGCGUGAAUCUUAUCGAACCAUGCUAAAUGGCAGACCUGGCUGAAGUUAUACGGAGCAUUACUGAAGAUAACCUUACAUCUAGCACACCAAAUUUUGGAUUGCUGAUAGGGAACCCGAUAUCAGCCAAAAUAGUACUGUGCAGAGUAGUACUGGCCAGAUUCCUAGCACUAUGCGAGAGUAGUCCUUGGCAGUGGGUACGCGUCAUCAGAACAAACAGUUCUGGAGGAGCACACCUUUGUAUAGUCAGCACUGUAUGUUGAAUUUGUUGCAACUUGCAUCACAAUCACUGUGGCCAUCAUUCUAUGAGAAACAGUGCGUGUCUGUACAGAACCUUGGCACUUUCUGGCUAUGAUUGACGUCGAAAAAUGAUUCCUCUCCAACUCUCGAGUAGUGCAGAAUAUCUUAAGCGGAUUACACCCCCCUAACCACUGCGCAGGUUUCUUGCUACUGGAAUUUCAACGCGUUCACAGUAAUAUUGAAACCUAGACCACGCAAGUUCGGCGAAGGGCUUGCGUUAACUGGGCCCUCCAUCGUCAUCGAUUUACCGAUUUUUCGAUGGACAGCACUCCCUGUCUUCGAUCAUCUCGUCGAGCUGGAGGCACACAGAGGCAAAGCGGGGUGCAAAUUCACAAAGAAUGAAGCACUCCAGGGUGGCCUCUUUCAGUUAACUGGCUCAUAUCCUGUCUACCAUCUGUUGAUCUUAGGUGUUUCGACCAUAUAGCUUUGUGAUGACGAGCUCGCUUGCGGACCUGUCGUGUUAGAACGAGGCUUCUCGCAUCAGUUAUCAAAUUGGAGCAAAGUGGGGACACAAUUCUCUCCAGCAGUAUUCGUGCUCGAGAGAUCAGCUUUCCUUGAGAUUAUACAGCUGUUGAUGUGGCAGCCGCUUGGUGUGCUAGUUCGAGCAACAGUAGAACCUAAUGUAACCCCAUGUAUUGACGGUACUCCCCAUGCACGAAUGUUGAGUUACUGCACUCAGGUUCGGAGAAGUUAAGUUUGGGUUUCGGCAAUGUGUAGUCAAUAGAUUCGAAAACGUUUGCUUCUAUUUUAGAAGUCGGGUCGAAACGAAACGACGAACUUUGUUGUCGCUGCGGCUUGACAGUGCAGGUUGAGGCCCCCGCAUCAAAUCUCAGGUGAACAUCUUUCACUGUACAGCUUAACAGUGGUGUAGAAAUUUGAACCCGACACAAUCAGAGACCAGUUAUUUGGUUGACAUGGGUUGAAAACACUUGUGAUGAGCAAAUCUAUACAUUGUUGAAUGAUAACAUUUGAAUUUGGCCAAACCUUGUGAUGUUAGGAAGUUGAAGCCAUGGCGUCUGAUUCAGAGAAGAAAUCUACGUGGGAUACAAUCAUCGAUUACGUCAUUCGAACUCUUGCCGAGCAAGUGGGACUGGGUAUUUUUGUUAACUUCAUUUGGUGGGUCAUAUUUACGUCUGUUUCGGUGUUGUGUUGUCGAGAACAUCAGAGGAGGAGGAGACGCGAGAUUUUGAUACUGGAUAGUGAUAUGAAGAAUGCUAUAUUCCGUGACCUGAUAAUUCGCAUGGACACCAAUCAGAGCUGCACGGAAGGACAUUUUGAUUAUGAAGUUGGUCACUCGACACCAGAUAAGACAGGUCUUAAUGCAAAGAUAAGUCCAUGUGAUGAUACAGAUCCGUGGGGUUCUGAUCUCAAUCUCACUCCCAAAGAGCCGGAUAUCGCAGUGAAAGAUGUCUCUUCUGAAUCUUCUCGACCGCAUGAAGUGGAACCUACCGCGAAUAGAAAUCAGUAAGAAAACUUGAAAUCCAGGACAUUCCUUACGGUGCUGUAAUGGGUUCGAGCAGAUCGACUUCAGACCUGGGUCUCGACUUUUGCAGUCAAAGGUGAUAUUAAUUGAUGACAACUUGGGGAAGCUAUGCCAAAUGUCAUUUGAUGACAACUGGGGGAAGCUUGUGCAAUAGCUGAUCAACAUGUCGUUGUGCAACUCAACAAUUUUCAAGCCUUCGUUUGUAGCGAGGGCACGCUAUCCCAACAUGCACCUAAUACAACUGUUUGGGAACCAUGGUUGGAGGUUAUGCCGAGCACAGUCGUCCUACUGACGCAAUCGAGGUUUAUGAUCAAGUUCGUCAAGAAGGUGGGAGGCCAAAUGAGGUGACUUAUUUGAGUAUUUUGAAAGCAUGCGCCUGCCCGGCUGGUGCAAUCUGGGGCAAAGAAAUUCAUGCACAUAGCAGGCGUAGUGGUUUUUAAUCUUACGUUCCUGUAUAGACUCGAGCAUUUAGGAUGCUAAAAUAUUCUUUUGGUGCAAUGGCGGAGCGAAAUGUAAUCACAUGGAAUGUAAUGACUGGUGGACCUGCACAAUACGGGUAUGGGCAUGAAGCGUUCUCCCUUUUCCUUCAGAUGCAAGAAGGGUUUGUACCAGAUGCAACUAAUUAUUUAAGCAUCCUCACUGCAACUGUACGCACUAGCGCGGGGGCUUUGCGAUGGGUAAAGGAGGUUCAUCGUCACACUUUCAAAGCUGGAUUUGAUUCAGACAUGUGUGUGUAGAAUGCGCUAGUUUACAUGUAUUCUAAGAAUGCCAAAGUUGAUGAUGCUAGGCUCGUUUUCGAUGGAAUGCUGGAUCCUGAUGUAAUCAGGGGGUCUGCAAUGAUUGGUGGACUUGCACAAAAAUGGGCUUGGACAUGAACCCUUUUCCCUCUUUCUCGAGAUGCAAAGAGAAGGAGUUGUUCCAAAUGUAACUACUAAUUUGAGAAUCCUCGCUGCAAGUGCAAGCACAGCAGCUCAAUAAUAGGUGAAGCAAGUUCAUAAUCAUGCUAGUUAAGCAGGACUUGGUUCUGAUUUUCGUGUGUGCAAUGCAGUGUAACUUCGCUUCACUUUGACCUCCUUUUCAAUUCUGAAAACACCCAAUAAAAACAACGUUGCUUGACUUGAAAAUAAUCUUAAAACAAUCCCAAAACUGCCCCACCAAGUUACCACUUAGUUCUAAAACAAGACAGAAUCAGUCUGGAAUCCAAUCUAGGAUCCAGUCGUGUGGCGGCCCUUAGUUGCAUCACGUCGCAACUUUGUGUCGCAAUACGUCCUCUUGUAGCCAACACUUGGGGGUUGUCUUCCGCUAAUUUCAGUCAACUGGGGGGCAACUCCGGACCCUUUCACUUAAGCCUAAAUCAAACUUUUAGAUUCUAAGGAACAGGGGUCAUGGAGUCUCUUUCCGAGGCAUCUGGGACUCAUCUUCAGGUUCUAACAUUCUCCACUGCACAGUGUGAACCUCAGGGGUCCCCUCACAAUGUGAACCCCGGGGUAGGGAAGGUGGCCCUCCCAAUCUCUCCAUUCCCACCUAGCUGUUGUACUCCUAUGGGCAUUGGGGGUGUCUUGGCUCACAAAGCUUUAACUUCUUCUUUCUUUAUGAAUAUUUUAACAAGCAAGUGAGAGGGUCAAACUUUUUUGACCCUCACACCUUCUUCCACUUUCAAGAGUCAAUGUCCUCAUUAAUACACAAUUUGAUAUUUUGCUUAAGAAGUUAGUUUUUUUCAAAAUUUAUUUUUAAGAGAUGUCUUGUACUACAUCAUUUUUUCUAUAGGUAGCUUAAAGGCUUGUUUUUACCCAGCCUCAAGUUUAUUUGUCCUUUUCUCAGGAAUUGAGAUUUUUUUAAUUACCUAUUGAAAUAGGAUGCUACCUCUAUCUUGUGUUUCUUGUAUAACUUCUUUUUUUUUUUCUUAAAAUUUUUAAAGUUCUUUCAAUUCUUUUGAUUUGAAAGUUUACAUUUUUUUACGUGAAACAUAAAGACUUGCAUCCUCACUUAGACUUUGCCACAACUAUUGAAUUUCUUAACUAAGACUUGCUUCAUCUGAGUACUCUUCCUUAUCCUAUCAAAGUGACUUCCAAUUACUCAAUAAGAGAUCCAUUUAGGAAAGGCCAAUCAUUCAAGCUUCAUUGCUUAGAAUCUUAUAUUUACAUCAUAUAAACUUCUUAAGGUUUUCUUCUACAAAGUUCUCUUGACUUGGAAUUCUUUCAAAUCUUUUAUCUCUUAAAAACUUCUUCCACCUUAGUCUUUUAAAAUAUUUCACCUAGACUUUUUUCAAGUAGUAUUUACCUCUAACAUAUCUUGCUUAUUUGGUGUUAUUGGGAUUUCUUAUACUUCGGCUUAUAGAUACCUAUAUCUUUUAUUAUCAUAUAGGAUUGUGACCUUCAUCUACUUUGGAGUGAAGAUUUCUUCAUCUUCUUUAAUCACCUUCACUUGCCUCCCACAACUUUUAUCAAAGAAUCACUUUUAGUGAUUUUUGAUUUGUUUCUUUAUGGUCCUCCAUUUUCUAUAGUCAUCUACUUUUUUCUUGAAAGCCAUGACUAAUCCUUAUAUAUAUCUUAAGUUCAUUUCAUUUAUCCAUUGAAACUCAUGUGGAGGAUAAUCUUUGAAAGUAUAUAAGUAUUGAAUUCCUCUCAUAUUCAUAUAUUUAUCAAGUAUUGCUUCUAUUUGAUCCAUAGUUUGAUUCCACAUGUCUUCUUGAGGUAGGAUCUUUGCCUUGUUUUUAUUGAAGCCUUUUAUAUCCUCUACAAACUUAAGGACAUUCACAUAAAAAAUUGGAUGCCACUUCAAUAUCUUUGGUAUAUCUAACAUAUAUACAUUCUUAUAUAGGACCUUUUCAAUUUCAUAAAGAUCUGCCCAUUUUUGGCUCUAUUUAGAAGUGAGAUGUGGUAGGCAAAUAAAGUAUUCAAUCAUACAUUGUUUCAUUUUUCAUAGUGUACAUCUCUCUUAUAUUUAUUAGUUUGUUUCUUAUAUCUUCUUUAGACUACUUCUAGCCUAGCUUUGACAAUUUUCAUUAUGGCCUUUCUUGUAGCUAUCUACCUUACUCCUUGUAUUGAAUAAAAACCAAAAGUUGUUUCAUCACUUUGCCUAAUUCUUAUCAAGUCAAUUGGCCUAAAAGCAUUGAAACAAAGAGCUACUUAGAAAAGUGUGUUUUCUAAAGAAAUACUUUGAAUAGUAUUAUAACUAAAAUUUGCUAUGAGCAACCAUUUAAUCCAAUUUUUAUGGUUACUUGCUACAUAGUGCCUUAGGUAUAUUGAAAGAACUCCAUUAAGUCUUUUAGUUUGGCCAUUUCCUUGUGGAUGCCAAAAAAUUAUUAGUAUUAUUUUGGAAGCAAAUUUUUUCAUCACAUAUUGUCAAAAUUAAAUUAUAAAUUUCACAUUUCUAUCAUUCAUAAUUGAUAUUGAUUUUUCAUAUAUAAAAAUUCAACAAUCAAAGACAAGGCUUAUAAUAAUUUUUGAGAUAGUUUUAAUUUCUUCUUUUGAAUCCUUAAAAAACAUAAUUAUAGAUAUAAAUCUAACAAUCUUCUUAAAUAUAUUAAAAAAUAUUAGUAUAAAAUUAGCUUCACUAUACUUUGAUAAGCUAAUUAUAAAAUUUAAUAAAACAUGUCUAUAACAUAGAAAUAGAUUUGGCAAUGGUUCCAAAAGUCAUACUUUUAAUGUAUAGAAUGUUUAUUCCUUUGAAAUACCAAUUUUUUUUACAUAUUUAUCUACAUCUUUUCUUAUAGAAGGAUAAUAAUAAGAUUUUGUCAUAUCUUUAAAUGUGGUCUUUAUACCUCUAUGUUCUUCACAUAAAGAAUCAUAUACUUCAUACAUUAUUUUUCUUCUCUACUUGCCUUAUGGUAUUUAGAAUCUAUUUUGCUUAAACCAAAUAAUUCCAUCUCUUAUAAAUGAAAUUCUCAUAAGUCUUUACUAUUUUCUUGUAGUUUUGAUUUGAGUAGAUUUUUUUUUUUUUUUUUUUUUUUUUUUUUUUUUUUCAAGUGCAUCUUCAUCUUAUUCAUAACCUUUCUUAAUAUCUUUUAUGACUAUAGUAUCAUCACAAUACACUAUUAUCUUUAGUAUAAUUUUAUCAUAAAGCUUUUUCUCUAUGAACUCUUCUCUUCUAUUUAGUAGAUUUGGCACCAAGUUGUCUUUGCCUUGUUUGUGAAUAAAUUCAGUAUUCAUUGACAUUAUCACAUCAUAACACCUCAACUCUUUAGGAGAAGCUUAGAUUUUUGAAGUAAAGUACUUAAGAGAAAUGUUAUCAAUAUAUACUUUGGUUGUCCUACUUUUGAAGUAGUGUCUUUAAGCUUCCAAGCAAUAUAAUACUAUAAAAAUCUCCUUCUCAUAUGUUGGCCACUUCAAUUGACUUCUAUUAAACUUCUUACUUUUAAAAAGCUAGAAGUCUUCUUUCUUGUAUUAGAACUCUUCUAAUUACAAAGUCAAUUGCAUCUAUAUGGACUUCAAAUUCUAUAUCAAACUUGCAGUAGAAUAAGAUGUUAUUCGAUACUAAAGCAUCUUUUAUCUCUUGAAAAGAUUUUUUACAUUCUAAAUUUUAUGAGAUGAUUAUUUUAUUCUUCUUAACAAGACUUGUGGGAGAACUAACAAUCUUUGAAAAGUUUCUUAUGAACUUUCUAUAAUAAUUAAUUAAUCAUAUAAAAGACCUAUUUUUUUUUUUGAAUUUUUUGUAUCUCCCAACUUUAGAUUCCUUCUAUCUUUUUUGGAUCUAGCAUUAGUUCAUUUCCAUUGAUAAGAUGUCCUAAGAAUUUUAACUCUUUGAAAUAAAAAAUAUUAUUUUCCAUAUUGGCAUAGAGUUGAUUAUUUUUUAUUUUAUUUAAGACUACUUUCAAAUGUAGCUUGUAUUCUUCUUUGUUCUUGGAAAAGAUCAAAAUAUCAUUAAUGUAGACUACCUCAAAUUUACCACUUUUUUUAAUGAAAGAUAGAGUUCAUCAAGAUAGUAAAGGUAGCAGGAGCAUUACACAAUUCAAAUAGGAACCAUAUUUGGUUUUAGAAGUAGUCUUCUCUAUAUCUUCUUUGACAACUCUUAUUUGAUAGUAACCAUUCUUAAGAUCAAUCCUACUAAAACACUUAGUAACAUUCAAUCUAUCCAAUAAAUCAUGAAUUCUAGGAAGUAAAUAUUUUUUUUUAAUGGCGAUCUUAUUUAAGACCUUAUUAUCAAUACAUAUUGUUAUUUUUCCAUCUUUCUUACUUACAAAAAAGACAAAAGCUCCAAACAAAGAUUUUUUUAUCUAAUAUAUUUUUUUUCAAGCAACUCAUUGAGUUACAUCUUCAGUUUAUUUAACUCUAUUUAAUUCAAUCUAUAAGGUGCUUUACUUGGAGGUUGUAUACUUGAAAUUAAUUCUAUCUUAUAAUCCACCAAUCUAUUAGGUAGUAGUUCUUUUGGAAGUUCAUUUGUUAAUACAUUUCCAAAAUCUAUUACAAGAUUUUAAAGAAGUUUUACAAAGUGUAAAGUAGUCUUUAACAACUCUUUUUUAUUAUAAGGAAAAUAAUUUUUUACAUUCAAAAUUAAAAUCACUCCUUUUCAAGUAUAAAAAGAAUUACUUUCUUUCUAACUUACUUUGAAAAAUUAUAAAGAUCCUAAAUUGAUAUAACAUGAAGGAGUUUGUGGAUGAUAAGUCUAAUACUUUUCCAUUCUUUUCAACCAUGACUACUCUCACUUUGGAUUUCUAUAAAAAUUCUAUUCUAUAGAAGUCUAAGAAAGUAUUUUUUAUUAAUACAUCCUCUCUAUUAAGGUUGCAUAUUGAGCAGUCUUCUUGGAAUCUUAUGUUUAUGUACUUAAACUUUAUAUCAUGUAUAACCAAGUUGGUUAUUUUUCCACCUUGGAAAAAAAGUCACCUUUACUUCCUUUAUUUGUUCUUGAAUCAAUUUUAACCUCUUAGCAUAAGUUGGACUCAUAAACAAGUUAGCUAUCUUUAUGUCAAUCAACAUAGAAACUUCAAUACUUCAACAUUAGAACUUAAAUACAUGAGUUUCUUAUGUAAGCUUAUUAAGGUGAAUUCUCCUUCAAAAUCUUCUUUUCUUAUCAAGAUCCUCUUGCUAAGAUUCAUGCUUUGAAGUUCUUUUAUUUUAUGAGUCUCAAUUAACAAAAAAAUAUUAAAGUUCUCACUUAUCUUUUUAGAUAUUUUUUUAUUUUUACAAUCAUUAGCAUAAUGUCUCUUUUUUUGACAUUUAAAAUAAGUCACAUUAGAUGAACUUGCCUUUGCCUUUUUAGUAUUAUUUCCUUGCCUCUCUUAAGUCUUAGACUUAAAAGAUUGAGGAUUUAACUCCUUUUUAAGAGUUAUUUUUUCCUUUAUAAUUUUUUGUCAUAAUGCUUUGCUUACUAUGGCCAAUCCUUUGUUCUUCUAAGUCUAAUUUAGAACCAAAAACAAAGACAUCAUUGGUGUUAGUUAAAAUUAUCACUUUCUUUAAAUAACUUUUCUUUUUUAUUACACUUAAUUCAUUACAAAAAAAAAUAAGAGAUAUUUUUCAUAAUCCAAUUGAAUAUAAGGAAGUUGAUUUUAGAAUUCUCCAACAUACUUAAAGAGAUAGGUUUUUCUUCCUUCUUGCCUUAAUUUGAAGAGUUACAACCUUUCUAUCAAGUUUUUUGAUUUAUUCUCAAAUCUCCUUAUGAGUCUAUUAUAUACUUCAAUUCAAGUAGUUUUUUAGGCAUAGUUAGAAUUAGUUUUGAUUUUUCCAUCAAAUCAAUCCAAAACACUUUGUUCAAGUAAUCUUAAUAAGAUUCUAAUCUUGUCCAUAUCAAAUUCAAUAUCAUUGGUCAAAUGCCAAUGCUCAACUUCCUUGAAAAACUUCCUUGUGGUUCUCUCGUACUUUAUGCCACUCCACUUCUUAGAUUGUUCUGUUUUGAUUCUAUAAAAGCUUGAUUUUUCCUUUUUACCUAUAAGUAAAGUUUCUUUCUUUACAUUCUCUCUCAUCAAAGAGCCUAUUAGAAGUUGAUUCACUUCCAUCUUUUUUUCAAAUUCUUUGUUUUUUUCUUCUAUAAGCCUCUUUAUUAUUUUUUCAAUUUCAUCAAAAAAGAGAACACUUUGUUUUUCUACUCUUGAUUCUUCUAUUGAGUCUCUAGAGAUUUUAGAAGUUUGAUUUUGUUAUCUUAGGUUUCUAUCCUUUCUUUCAUUCUCUUCUCCCUUACUUUAAAGUUCUAGAGCUUCUUACAAAUUCUUAGUUGUUCUUCUUGCUCUUCUUAGGUUGCUUCAUUAUAAUCUAUUUCUAAAGAAAGAAGAGACUUUUCUUCAAGCAAUUACUUGUUUUCACCAAUCUCGUUUUUUGAUUUUAUUUCUUAAUCUACUUGUAUGUCUUUUUUACUUGUUUUCAUUAAAAUUCUCAAUAAAAUUUGAUUUGCAUUUUUUAUUUUAUUCUAUAUUAUCAUUAACAAGUUGGUCUUAUAGUUUUUUUCACCAACUUAAUUAAUUCCUCUUGCCUUGGCCAAAAUUUCUUGUGAAAAAUUUCCUUCAAGUAUUCACUUUCAAUUUUAAUCUUAAAAACUUUGAUUGAAAUGGGACUGCAUUCUCUUAAAGAUCUAAAAUCCUUUCAAUCUACAGUAACAUAAAUUCCAUCAUAAAGUAAGACAAAACCAACUUGAACAAAAUUGAACAAAAUUAUAAAAAAUAGAAUAUGAAAGAUAAAAUAGAAAAAAAAAAUAAAAUAGAAUAAAAUAAAAAAUGCAAAUCAAAUUUUAUUGAGAAAAAGGGAUCAAAGUCAUAUCUAACUAAAUGCUCCAAAUAGCCUCAGUCAGUCCUAUUUAUACUUUAUCCAACUAUUCCAAAACUUUUUAGAAUAUUCUUAAUGAUAGGUCCUAUCAAAAUAACCGCCCUUUGUGAGGCCAAAUUUCACCACUUGAUGAAACCUAUCUCACACAACAAGUCGAAGAGAUACGAUUGGAGAGCUCUAAAAAAUAAAAUCAUAUUAUAGAACCCGAUACCAAAUCAUAUCUAUUACAAUAUCAAUUUAUUAAUAUUAUAAUUUAAAAUAUUGGAACUCAUCCUUCUUCCUCAAGUAAUGUUGAUUUGCAGCACUAUAGAAAAAUAAUUAGAAGUUAAAAAGUUAAAAAAUAAAAAUAAUCAUGUCCUCCCUUAUUAGAGAAAAUUUUGACUUAUAGAUAUUAAAUUACUUCAACCGGCCUUCUUUCUCUAUCAAAGUGGAUUUGGAAUAAAAGAAAAGAAGUGAAAAUAAAAGAAAAAUAAUAAAAUAAGAAGUUGUUAAUUACUACAUAGGAAGCAAUGUCCUUCUCUUAGAAAUUUGGACCUAAUCUAUCUAAAUCAUCUAAUACAAGUUCAAGAAGUAAGAUAAGAUUGAAUAUUACGAGCAAAAGAUGAAAAUUACUCACUCAAUGCCCUCCACAUUAUGUCUUGGGCCUAACACAUAGAAGAAUAUUCAUAUUAUAUUUUAUUUUUAUGUAUUUUUAAUAAAUAUAAGAAUACCAUAUAAAUCAUACUAUUCCACUUAACUUCAUAAUAUUAACAUCCUCUCUUGGAACUAUGAAGAAAAAGAGAAGAAUAAGAGAAGAAGAAAAAUUUGAGAUAUAACAAGAAUAUUAUAAAAAGAAGCACUUAGCUGAUAUUUCAACUUUGUGGUUGCUAAUAAAUCACCAAUCAAUCGUCCUUGAGGGUUGAUUAAUAUUGAUCUUUAUAGCUUCCAUUUUACUCUUCAACAUACUAUUUGACGUUAGAAAAAUAUAAUCCAUAAAAGAAUUUUGUUCCUAUCAUCACACUUUGUAUUCCUUAUAACAUUCUCCUGUUGUUCAUGUAAAAAAUAAUGAGCCAUCUAAGGUCUUCAAUUGUAUAGAGUUGUUGGUGGAGACAUCCACCACAACAUAAAGGCCAGUCCAUACAACAUCAAAUUUUUCUGAGAAUUUCAUUUUUUGUGCAUCUUGAAGCAUGAUCUACAUAUCAAGAAGUAAGGGAAUGUGAUGUUGCACAAUGUGUGAUGGAAUCCCUCUUAGAUUCAAAUAAGACCAUGCAAAGAUAUCCCUAAAUUCCAUAAUUAAAUCUUUGUAAUGAGACACCUCUUCAUAUAUUAAAUGAGAGCCAAUCUUAAUUAAUUUGGGCUCUUCUCCCUUUAGUGCCAUGUCUAUCUGCUGCCAAUCAAAAGGACAUACAUGCAUAGGGUUUGUAGGUCCAUGGUACCAAUCCUUGGGCACCGGAGGAUAGAUUGGGAGAUUAUGGCCUACUUCAAUGCCACUUGAAGUCUUUUUGAAGUGCAAAGGGGGUUGAAUGUCUUCUUCUUGCAUUAAAGCUUUAAGCUCUUCUAAUUGUGUACCAUCUAUUUUAAAUCGGAAGGCUUCUUUUUCUUCCACCUCCUCAACCAACGUAGCCAUAUUCCAACAAAAAGAAUCUGAAGGCUCUUCUAUGAUUGAUAUCACUUCUAAAAAAAGUACUGAUUGUUCUUCUUCCAAAUAGAGAUUCUCUGCCAACUAUUGUGUAAAAGUUCCAUCAUCUUUAUAAUCAUAUAAACCUGGUCCAAUGCAUUUAAUAGGUCCUAGGUUUGUGGAAGAUCCCACCAACAAGGAUCGAGAGCCUUUUUGCCUUACUACCUUUUCUUCACCUCUCUUUAUGAAGAAUGCAGGCUUAAUUAGCACGGUUGUUCUAUUUUCUUGAGGUCCAUAAGUAAAGUAUGGUCUUUUUGAUAACUAAUUUAUAAUGCCUCUACAUUUUUUCAAAAAACUCUGGCCUAAUAAUAGUAAAUAACUGCAUUCUUCUUCUUUCAUCUUCACUACUUCAAAAUUGAGGAUAUAAUCAACUCCACCAGUCCUAACUCUUAAGUUCUUAAUCAUAUCCAGUAGCUUACAACUUCUUUGGUCUGCGGUCUUUAGAUUAAAAAUGGAGGAGUGUGUGACUUGGAGUCUUAACUUCUACAUUAAAGAUAAGGGCAUGAUAUUGACGUUACUACCAUCAUCUACAAUAGUACUUAAUAUGAAUUUAUCUAUAAUUUCUACUUCUAUUUCUACUUCAUCAUAAUUCUCCUUUGAAUUAAAAAAAUCCAAUUCUUCUUCUUUAAUCCUUCAAGAUUCUCCAAACUUCUUAAAUUGCCUCGGCAUUGUGGCACCUUCCUUCAAUUAUUUUUGCAAUGAAGGCAUUAGCUGGAUGAGUUGUCCAAAAGAUAUAUUUACCUUUACAUAAGCUAGGUCUUUCUACAAAUCAUAAGGGUCUGCUAGAUUGUUCACCUUGGAUUUUUUGACUUUAGUCUUUCAUUGGAGGGAUGCUUGGAAAUCAUUGUUAUUCACAAAUUGGAAUUCAUCAUCAUCGGAUAGCUCCAUUUCAUAUGCAUCUUCAAAUUACAUAUCUUUUGCUGUUUUUUUAGUGGUCUUAUUGAAUUCUUGGAAGUGAAGUGAUUCUUCUGAUGAAGAUGGAGAUUCCACGUCUUCUACUUCUUCUUCCCUGGAUUCUAAGGGAGUGGUUCUAGCACCACUUUGUGUAACUACCAAAGUUGGCAAGUAUAACUUAGGUAAUAAGUUCUCAAUUGGCAUUGCAGAUAUCAAAUUGGCACCUUGUACUGGCAAUUUUUGAGGCUCCAUAUAGCAAUUAUCUUGAGAAUUUUGUCUAUGUGAGACCACACCUUACAAAGUUUGUACAGCCAUUGGUGGAUGAUGUAUUUGUUUAUCAUUCUCUCUAUCAUAAUACAGAUUAGGCAGCCCUUUUGGUUGUAAUUCAGGCCCCAAUUGCCUUAUAUUUGCACGUAUUAGUAAUCUGGCGUAAAAAUCUCGAGUAGGGUAUGAAUAUCGCAAACCGACGAUGCCUUUAAGCAUGGAAUCCAAAUGUAUCACUGUUUGUAAUGGGGCGUUAGUCUUGCACUCCCUCUUAGUGCUACAACAUCACAUACUAGUAAUCUACCACAACAACAUUGCGAAACUUAUCUCGUAUUAAGCUUCUCCUCUACAUUUCAUGGAUGUUUGUAGCUUUUUGCGUGGACUAGCAGAGGUCAGCAGAUUGAUGAGUGUGAGAGAUAGAAAAAGACGAAAGUUUUUGUACGCUUGGAGUUAUUACAUUGCAAUGAAUUCAUGUCAGGAAACUGAUAAAAUAUUCACUUUGUUAGAAGGCUCAUUGAGAGUCACACUUGCAAAAAACUCACUUCUUUUAUUGUGAUUCUCGAACUAUCAACACUAUUUCGUUCAACCUCUUCUGGUAUUUCAUUCCGCUUUUGAUGAGAGCUUUUCAUUGAAAUGUUGAUUAAAUGAACUUUGAUAUGUUUUAAGAUUUUAAUCGUAGUAUCAGAUUGUGUUUGUAUGUAUGUAUGUAUAUGGAUUUAAUGAGUAUUUUUUCUAUCUCAGUUGAUUGAUAAUAUAUGAAUAUAAAAUAGGUGAUUAUAAACGUAAUGAAAAACAUCUAUUUAUUAUAUAAAAUAUUUACUCAGUUUUUAAAAAAAAUACCAAUUUAAAAAAUUGUUCAUAAUUUAAUGCUAAUAUUUCCAAUCAAUUCAUUAUAUGAUAAUAAACACAAUGAUUUUUUUUUCUAUUAUUUAUUUUUGUAGAGUACUUUUAUUACUAUUCACAUCACAAUACCAAUUGUACAUUGAUUGAAUAAUUUUUGGUUUCUGUUGUUGUUGUUGUUUUUAUUUUUUUCUUUCUUCUUCUUAAAAACUUUCAUUCAGCAAUGUUGACUGAUCAUACAAAAAAUUUAAACUAGUGAAGUUUAUCAUUAUUUAUAAGAAAAAUAAAAAUCAUGAUAUCAAUAAAUUCAUAUUAAUACACAUAUCUAGAAUUUCUACAUUUAUAUAAUUUUUUUGUGUAUUUGUCAAUACAUACAUUAUACAUACAUAUACAAUACAUACAUAAAUUUAUGAUUGAAAUAAUUCUGAAUAUAUAUUUGUAUGAGUCACAAUCUUGAGAAUGCCAAGGAUUAGUAGAUUUGAACCAAAGAUACAAUAAUUGACAUAGAAGAUAACCACAUUAAUUAUACUUAUUACGAUAUCUAAGUUGUAUUAGAGUACUUUUUACACCUUAUGGUAAUUUAUAGUAAUAUAUUAUGGAUAAAUAAUAACUUUAUUGUACCACUUCAGAAAGGUAGCUUUUUAGCAAGUAAGUAGAAAGAACACAUAUGAAUUUCUUAGGAUUACUCUCAUUCUAUUAUUUCUUUUAAAUUCUCAUCUAAUAUGAUUAAUUCUAAUAAGUAGUUGUGCAAAUAGAAAAGAAUAUUAUAUGUAUGAUAUGUAUCAUCAUAAUACAUGCUAUUAUUCAUUGAUUUGAACCAACAUGGUAUCAAAUCAAAUCAUCUUAUAGAGAGUGUAAUUCCAAAGAUCAAAGAUUGCAAGCAAGAAUGAUCAAAGAUUGAAAAAAAAAUCUAUUGAAGUAACAAGGUUGAGGAGUAGUAUUAUUACACCUAAACAAAGACAUUGAAGAAGCCUUGUGAAGAACAAUACAUGGCAAGAUUAGAAGUUAGAUAUUUAACAUUAAAUAAAGUGAGUAUAAAACUAGAAACUAUUAGACAACACGUUCAAUAUAGUAGAAUCAAAUAACUUAGAAAGUUCUUCAAAUUAUGAAAUUUGAAAAACUAAGAUGAGAACUAUUCUUAGGGAAAAAAAUUGUGGCAUUAUAUGGGUCCAUAAGAGGCUAGGAUAGUUGUAGAACUAGCAAAAUUUAUACUUGAAGAAGAAAGAAAGAAGAAGGAUAGAACAUUGAUUGUACUCAUAUUUUUUUUUAUAAAAAAUAAUAUUUUAUAUCAUAUAUCUAAUAUGGGAGAGCUUGAAACUUACUAGAAUAUUGGUGAAUAUUGGUUAAAAUCUAAUUCAACAAAUAAUUUAAUUUCAUAGUAGAUAAAAAGGUUCAAAUUUUUAUUUGUCAUAAUUAUCUCAGAUAUAUAAAUUACAUGAUACUACAUGACAUGUAGAACAAAUUGAAAAGAUUUUUCUAUUUUCAAACUCAUGAUCAACCAUAUUCACAUUGUAUAGGAAGAAAGCAAAGCAAUUGUAUCUAAGGUUAGUUUUACUAGAGUACUACAAAGAAAUGAAUUGAUACAUUCAAAUUCCUAUGGUUCCAUAUCAUUGCCAUUACUUUCAAGUUCAUGACUUUUAUAGAUGGUUUUUAAAAAAAAUCAUGGAUAUAUAUAUAUAUAUAUAUAUAUAUAUCUUAAAAAGAAAAAUUUAAGGAAUUUGAUACCUUCAAGAAAUUUAAGAUAAUAAUAGAAAUAUAAAUGGAUGAAAGAAUUAGAAUUCUUGAAACUAAAAGAAGAAAAGAAUAUACCUUGAGUAAGUUUAAAAAGUUUAUGGUAGACCAUGGCAUAACAUAUCAAAAAUACAAGCUUAUACUUCUUAUUAGAGUGGAGUUGUGGAAAGGAUAAUUUGAACAUUGCUAGAUUAUGUGCAUAUGAUGUCACUUGCAUGCAAGGCACCAUACUACUUAGCCAUCAAUAUUACAACUUAUAUCACAAAAUGAUGUCCAAUUCAAAGUAAUGGCGACAUUACACAACAAAAAAAAAAUACUAACCAUAAAUCAAAUGAGAAGCACAUGAGAAUAUUUGGAGCACUAGCACAUCUUUAUAUAUCAAAGCAUCAACAUUGUAAAUUGUAGCCAAAGUCUGUCUGCUAUUUUUUCUUAUAUAUACAAUGACAACAUAAAGACUUACAAACUAUUCAAUCUAUGGUCUCAAAAAUUAAUUAUUAUCAAAGACAUGAUUUUAGAUGAAAGCAUAUUGGACAUUAAACAAAUUAUGCAACCAAAAUAAUUAGAAUGAUAUAUAGAAAUCUACUUAAAAUCCAACUUAUCCACAGAGGAGUAAAAUUUGAAUAUAGAUUUAAAUGAAAGAAAAUCAUACACUAAAUCUAUACAGCAUCACAACUUUAUGACUUUACAAUCAACAACAGCAACAAUCUUUGAUAAAGCAUAUAAUCAAAAAUCAUAAAAAAAAAUAGUAUCAAUAGACAAUGUAGAAUUGGCAUUAGUAUAAAUGUUAAGAAGAAAAAUCAAAAUCUAAAGAUCUUCAUUCAACACUAAAGUCUAUGUUUAUUCCAUUGAUCACAAUGAUUCCACAAAAAAUGAUGAAGCAAAAAAAACAUCUAAGAUAGAUGUCCAAGAUAGAUGAAGAGCUAGAGUCAAUUCAAAAAAAUGAGAUUUAAGAAUUGGUUGAUUUAUCUUCAAAUAAGAUUCUAAUCUCUUCAAAAUGGAGUUUUUUAAAAAAUUGAUUGUACAUGACAAAGUGAAAAAAUUGAAAGUUAGGCUCAUUGCAAGGAGAUUCAAACAAAAAGAUCGAGUAGAUUAUAUAAACUCAUUUACACCAAUAAUUAAAUGGCCUAAUAUACAAAUAAUAAUAACCAUUGCCUUUGAAAAAAAUGAAAUAUUAAGCAUCUUGAUAUUGAGAUUACUUUUUUAAAUAGAGAUUUAGAAGAAUAGAUACAUAUGUAGAUAUCAUAGGAGCUAAUUUUACUAUUUAGGAAUAAAAAAAUAUAUAUUUAUUAAAAAAAUAAUCUAUGUUGUAAAGCAAAGUAACUAAAUAUGGUAUAUAAAAAUACAUGACUUUUUCAUUGAAUUUGAUAAAACAAGAAGUGAAGCAAAUUAUAAUAUGUAUUUUGACAAAAAGACAAGCUUCACAUUGAUAGUACUAAUCUACAUUGAUGACCAUCUAAUUACAAGCAAUAAUUAAGAUAAAAUAGACUCACUUUUUUAAUUUUUAAAUCAAAUUAGAAAAAAAUAUAAAUUAAGGAAAUUAAAUUUUAUAUAAAAAUAUAAUUUUAAAAAUUAAUAAAUAGAUUAUUUUUAAUUAAAAAAAAUACUACUAAAACUUGUUGAAAAGAUUUGAGAUAUUAGAAUGUGUAUCAAUAGCCAAAUCUAUAGAAGAGAUAAUCAGCCUAUAUGUAAACAUCGAAGAAAAAUUUACCAAUUCUAAUGAGUAUCAAAGUAUAGUAGGUAGUUUAAUCUACUUCACUUAUACUUGCCUAGUUAUUUUGCACUUUAUAAGUUGUCUUAGCAAAUUUAUUGUUGUAUUACAACACUCACAUCUUGAAGCGACCAAAAGAGUUUUUUCCUAUAUCAAAGUUAUAAUAAAUCAUAGUAUCUUUAUUUCAAAUCAAUGCAAUGAUAUAUUAAUAGGCUAUAUAGAUUUAUACUUUAAAAGAAUUUGGAUAAAAAAAAACCACAAAAUGAAUGACUUUCAAAAUAAAAAAUGCUCUCAUUCUUUGAAACAAAAACCUUCAACUAAUAGUAGCCUUCUCCAUAAUAGAGGCAUAAUAUUGAAUAUUAUUAGAUGGAGCUUGAAAAGUCGAUUUUGAAUUGUAUUAAAUGAGUUGGAAUAAGAAAUUUGAGGCUCAACAUUCAUAUAUUGUGACAAUCAAAGUUCAAGAAAAAUCUUAAAGAGUCUAGAAUUGUAUGUAAAGAUGAAGUACAUCAAACUUUAAUACCACUACAUUUAAGAAUACAUUGAAAAAUAAGAAAUCAUAAUAUCAUCUAUUCAUACUAAUAAGUAUGAGAUAGAUAUUUUUACAAAACUCCAUAGCAAAAUAUAUUUUCAGAAAAUGAGGCACAUAAUUGGAGUUCACAAUAAAGAGUAAAUCUUAAUCUAAACUUUCUUCCCAAUGAGGAUUUGUUUUCAAAGAACAUUCAUUGGAAUCUAAAAAACAUUCAUAGUGGAUAAUCUUUUUUAGAUGUACUAUUUCUAUCAAUAUUUUUUUUUUUACUCAAAAACUUUUAUAUCAAUUUUUAUUAUACAAAUUAAAAUCUUCUUGUACGAGGAUUCAAAAUCUAUCCAUUUCUAUUCAAAAUUAUGACACAAUAGAAAGAAGGCAAAUCAAAUUGUAGUAGCAGUAAAGAAGGAAAUCAACUCAGUCAAGUUCUUCUUACCAAGAAAGGAUCUUCUAUUGCAUCUAAUCUUUGCCAUAUACCUCCAAUGAUGAUAUUAUCAUAAAGAAAUCUUAAACCAGCAAACAUGACACAAGAGGUGCAUGAUUUUGCAUGAUUUCUCUUUAAUAUAAAGAAGAAAUCAAAACAUGACAUAGUUGCUUCACCAAACAAAAUAUAAAUUUACAAAUAUAUCACAAAAAAAAUAAAUUAAACCAUAACAACAUAAAAAGCACAUUUAAUUACAAUGGCAAUACAAAAAUAAAUUAUUGAUCAAUAAAGUAAUACAACAAAGACGAUCAUAAUCAAAAAGUAGUAAAAUGGCACUUAACUAUUAAAAUUGGUGAAGAGAAAGAAGACAAAUUGUACCCUUUUGGCAAUAUUUUCUUGAGCUUCAAAAUCAAACAUCGUGAUGAUAACAAAUUUGAAGAUGCAACAAUAAGCAACAUAAGAUGAGAGAAGGUAUUGAAGUACUUUACACAUCUUAUGUUAAUCUUCAGUAAUAUUUUAUGAAUAAACAAUAACUUUAUUAUGCCACUUCAACAAACUAGUUUUUUAGCAAGUAAGUAGGAAGAACACAUAGGAAUGUUUUAGGAUUAUUCUCAUCUUAUUAUAUUUGUUAAGUCUUCAUCCAAUAUGAGUAUUUUUUAUAAGUAGUUGUACAAAUAUAAAAAAAAUAUUAUCUACAUAAUGUGUAUUAUUUCAAUACAUGCACUUCAAAGUGUAUACUUGUUCAUUAGUUUAGUUCAACAAGUUGAACAAGCAAAUUAUUUUAGAAUAUAAAUGUACUUUUUAUAUAUAAAAUAAGCUCAAAUUAAAGAAUAAAAAAUAUAAUUAAUUCAUACAAAGACUUGUAUAUUACAAUGAAUUCCUAUAAGUAUAAGAUUACUUCAAAGAAAUUAGCAUACUAAAAAACCAUUAAUAAUUAUGUAGGCUAAGUAUGUAUAUCUAUAAUGUUGUAAAUUGAAUGCUUAGGUACACAGUUCUAUGAUUGGUCUAAAGAAAAUAUUACAAAAUUCACUAAGAGAAAUAUAAUUGGUAUCAAAAAUAUUAUAUCAUAGAUUGAUACAUUGGCACAAUUACACGUUUAAUUUAAAAAUGGAUUUAUUCAAUUAACCAUGUUAUAGAUACCUCUUCAAAAUCAAAAAGCCCACAAUCAAAGUGGAUUGAAUUGAGGUGCACUAUGGUUUAAGGUUGUGGUGUAGGUAGUAUAUGAUACCAACUAAAUUAUGACAACAAAAAAAAAUAUAUAAACCAAACUUUAUUGAAAAAAAGGGAUCAAAGCCAUACCUAAUUGAAUAUCCCAAAUGACCUCAGUCAGUCCUAUUUAUAUUUUGUCCAACCAUCCUAGAACUUUUUAGAAUGUUCCUAGUUGUAAGCUCUACCAAAACAACUAUUCUUUUAGAAGGUUCUAGAAGUGGGCUCCACCUAAAUAACUACCUUUAGCUCUUCUAGUAUGUUCUAUGGUAGAACCACCAACUUGACUCCAAUUUUGAAAAUUUCUAGAAACUUCUCAAAAACAACCUCGAUUACAUAUUCCUAGACAUCAAUAAUAUAAUUAUCUUAUCCAUGCCUUGUUACAGUUUGAAUAUAAUAUAAAUAUAAAAUUAUGUAAAAAAAGAUACUUCAAAAAUAUCAUCUUUAUAUAUAUAUUAUAUAUAUAUAUAUAUAUAUAUAUCAUUUUUCUUAUAUAUAUAUAUAUAUAUAUAUAUAUAUAUAUAUAUAUAUAUAUUAUUUUUAUUAUGUAAUAGGAAAACUCUCUUUUAUACCAUUGCAUUAAAUUUUUAAUGUAGUAUCAGAGCAAGCAUAAAGAGAUUGUAAAAAUUACUUUAUAAUUGCUUUAGAAUAAUUAUAAUGAAGAUGCUUAGUUGAUAAGUACUUGUUGAAAGAAAAUUUUGAGUGACUCCUUGCAAGACCAAUAAACUAAUUGGAGAAAACAACUAUCAUGUAUGGAACUUAAAAAUGAAGUCUUUCUUCCAAGCUUAAAAUCUUUGGAAUCUCAUUAUUGAGAAGCUCACAUCAACAACAUUUUCAUAUAUAUAUAUAUAUAUAUAUAUAUUAUCAGGAAUUCAAUUAUAAGAGAUGAACAAAAAGACUAUGAAAAUACUAAACAUUAUUAUAAAAGACUAUCUUGUGGAUAAAAUGAUAGAGCAUGAAGACCUUAAAAAUACAUGGAUGGCAUUAAAACAAGAAUAUAAAAGUAAAAACCCUGAUAUGAUACUCAAUCUUAAGUACAAACUAUUUAUAUUGAAAUUUCAAAAUUUUACCUCUAUAGAAGAGUUUUUUAGGAUAACACAAAAAAUCAAUAAUCAACUUAUAGCACUUGGUGAGAAAGUCCAAAUUAAGACUCUUGUGCAAAUUAUGUUGAAUGGUUUAUCUCUUUUCUUUAAUAACUUAUUAUAUAGAUUAAUUUCAGUAGAUUAAUUUAUAAGUUUUGAGAAAGUAUUAUCAAAAAUUAUUUUAGAAGCUCAUAGAUUGUAAUUAAGAGCAAAUAAAAUUAAAAAUUCUAAAAAUAAAUCUUUAUCUAUACAAACUUCAAGAGGAUAAUUUAAUAUAAGGUAUACAAAAAAAGUUACAAAUUACUUAUUUUUUAGAAGAAGGCAACCUUUUUCCAAAGAACAAGGAAUAACAAGUAAAUUUUAUUUUUAGAAAGAAUUUAGUUUAAUCCAUUUUUUUGUUUGUAAAAAAUCAAAUCACAUAGUUAAGUAUUAUAAAUUUAAAAAGUUACCAUCAAGUGUUGGAAAAUCCAUAGUUAGCAUCAUUGAAGCUAAAGAAACUUUUCAAAUUUUGAAUAAGAAGAUGCAUUCAAAGAAGUUGAAGUAAACCUUAUCAAAUCCAUAAGGGAGGAAGAAGAAGAUUUCAAUUGAUAUCUUAAUAGUGGAGCCUCACAAUAUAUAAAAAAUCAACUUUAAGAUUACUUAAAUCAACAACAUAUUUUCAUAAAAUUAGAGUUGCUAGAAGAGAACCAUAUAACACAUUUAGACAAGGAGAAAUUUUGAUCAAAAUUGAUAAUAAAAAUCCAAAAAAGAUAAGUAAUGUAUUAAUAUUCUUUUAAAAAAAAAACUUGUUGUUAAUAAAUUUUCUUACAAAAUGUGAAAUAUUGUGAUAUUUUCAACUAAUAAGAAAUGGAUUAUUGAUCAAAGACAAGAAGAAAAAGUUAUUGUUACUAGAUUUUAAGAACCUAAAAAUGGAUUAUAUUGUAUCAAACAAACCAUGCCAAAAAUUAAUUCUACUAUUAUAGAGAAGUCUAAGCUAUGGCAUAAUAGAUUUGGACAUCUAACAUAUUUAAGCUUAAAAUAAUUAUAUAUAAAUAAAAGAGUCAGAAGAUUACUUUUUAUUAGAAUCAUUUCCAAAGUAGUAUACAAAAACAAGAUUAUUUUUUAUUAAAAUCAUUUCCAAGGAAAUAUACAAAACAUGUAUUGCUAGUCACUAACAUAAGAAUAAGUUUUUUAAACAAAGCCUCAACAAAUCUAACAAGGUUCUACAAAUAAUUCGUAUUCAUUUAGUGGAACCUAUUUCUAAAUCUUUUCUAAGUAGCACCAAGUUCUUUUCUGUUUUUAUUAAUGAUUAUUCUUGCCAAAGAUGGAUAUUUUUUUUUUAAAUAUAAGAAUAAAGUAUUUUUGAAGUUCUGCACAUUCAAAACAUAAAAAAAAAAAAAAAAAAAAAAAAAAAAAUCAUAAGAAACUCUUGAUACUAAAGAUUGACAUAGGAGGCAUAUUCUUAUAACAAGAAUUUCAAGAAUAAUGUCAAAUCAUGGCAUAGAAAGGAAAUUAAUUCAAGCAUCAAUUCCUUAGUAAAAUGAUAUUUCUAAGAGGUGCAAUAGAACUAUUGUUGAAAGUCUAUUCUAUGAUAAUAAAUUAUAUUCUAUUUUAUGGUUUGAAACUAUUAAUACAAAAAAUUAUAUUAUGAAUAUAUAUCCUACAAAUACUAAAUAUGGUAAAAAAAAUCUAUUGAAUUAUACUACAAAAAUAAACUUUAUGUACUCCACCUAAGAACUUUUGAUUGUAUUACUUAUUUUUAUAUUUCAAAGGAUCAAUAUUCAAAACUUGAAAGUAAAACAAAAAAAAUUAUAUUUAUUGGUUAUUAUUCCAAUAAAAAAGUAUAUUGUAUUUAUGAUUCUACAAAAAAUAUUACUAAUAGAAAUAUUAUAUUUAAUGAGUCCAAGAUUGAAUAUCAAAAAAUUAAAAAUAAAAACAAUAUUGAAGAACCUGAAGAUAUAUUCUCCAAAUAACUUUUAAUUAGAAGAAAGAUGAAUAGGUAUAGACAACCAUCUAUUAAGUUUCAAGAUAAUUGAUUACUAAGUAUAUACUAAGAAUAAGAUCUUAUAGACUACUAUGAAGCAAGAAAAAAUAAAAAAUAAAAAGGCUAUCGAAUGAGAAAUCAAAAGUAUAAAAAAUAAUAAUACAUAGGAAGUAUAUGACUUAAUAGUUGAAAAGAAAUUUAUAACAUGCAAAUGGAUCUUAAAAAGAAGAUAAGAGCUGAAAGAAAUUUCAAGAAAUAUAAGGUUCAAUUGAUUGUAUGGACUUCAAAUAUCAAGAAGGAAAAACUUUCUUUGAAGCCUUUGCUCCUAUCUUAAGAUGGAACACAAUUAAAAUAGUCACCACAUUAGAUGUAUCUUAUUAAUAGCAAAAUAAAAUAGUACAGUGUCAAAAUUGCAUGCUUAAAUGAUAUAUAAGAAGAAAAAAUAUAUAAAUUUUUUUUCCUAAUUUUUAAGAACAUAAAAAUAACAAAAAAGUUUGUAAAUUCAAAAAAGCUUUGUAUGAUCUUUGACAAUCUCUUUAUACUUGAUAUAGUAGAAUUGACAAAUAUCCAAAAAAGAUUAGAUUAAAAAAAUCAAAUAAAAAUAUUAAUUUCUAUAUUUAUUACCAUAAAAAUUUAUAUAUGCUUCUAUUUUUAUAUAUGGAUGAAUUAAUAAUUACAAGAAAUAAUUCAAAAGAAAUAUUAAAAGUUAAAAAAUAAUUAUAUUCAAAGUUUGAAGGGACAAGCAUAAUAAUAAUUAAAACUUAUCUAUGAUUAGAAUUUAAACAUUUAAAAUAUGAUAUAAUUUUUUAUCAAAAAUGUUAUGUAAAUAUCAUCUUGAUAGAUUCAUAAUGUAGGAUUAUAAUCCUUGUGCAACUCUAAUGAAUGAAGUCUUGAAACUCUAAAACAAAAUAAGAGGAAAAUUAAUUGAUGAAACCAAAUACAAAAGGUUUAUUAGAAGUCUCUUGUAUUUAUCAAAUAUUAAAAGACUUAACAUUAGGUUUGUAGUCAAAAAUAUAAGUUGAUACUAUACAUCAUUACAAAAACCUCAUUGAAAAGAAAGAAUGUGCAUCUUGAAAUUCUUAAAAAGAACCACUAAUCUAAAAAUUAAUUAUCUAAAAAAAACUUAAAAACUUAUUGCUUAUAUUGAUGCUGAUUGGAAAUGUAAUAUUGAUUUAAGAAGAUCCACUUUAUGUCUUUUAUACAUGAUUGGUAAUUCAUCUCUUGACUAGAUUUUUAAAUUGCAAAGUAUUAUUGUAUUAUCUACAUUUCAAACAAAAUAUCGUGUUUUAUCUGAAGCUGCCAAAGAUAUUACAUGGUUAAGAAGACUAUUCAAAGAUCUAUACAUACUAGUAAAAGCAGCAAUACCAAUUAUGAAUGAUAAUGAAUGAUGUAUUAAAUUGGUAGCCAAUCCAAUCUAACAUAUAAGAACAAAACAUAUAAAAAUUCAAUUCUAUUUCAUAAAAGAAAAGGCAUACCUUGGAUAAAUAGAAGUUAUAUAUAUUCACAGUGAAGAACAAUUGGUUGAUUUACUGACCAAGCCAGUUAAUAAAAUACAGUAUAAGUAAUUUAAAGAAAAGAUAGGAUUAAUUCAUUUUUAUUUUUGAAAUCUAUCUUAGCUACUUGAAAAAGAUUGCAACCUAUAUCCAAGGACAAUACACUUAUAUGAUAAGUCUUUCAAUAUUUUCCCUAUAAACUACCAUAAAUAAAUUAUAUUCAUAUCUAAAUUUGUAUAAUAGAUGUGUAAGCUAUAUACCUUUAGCUAUCAUAUCUUGUCAAUAGCCAAGAGUAUUGAUCUUGAUAUACAUCAAAAAAAUUCAAAGAUUUGUAGCCUUUAUUUUUCUCUUUGAACAUCUAUUUAAAACUUGUAGUCUUAAUAGUAGAAACGGAUUUUUGAUUCUCAACAACCUUUUUAAAUCUCUCUUCUUACAAAAUUAGUAUCAACAUUCAACAAUGGAAGAAGUAUAUCAGAAAAAGAAUAUACAUAAUAUUUACUAAACUUAAAAUUUAUACUAUAAGAUGAGUUUUGCUCAAUCUAAAAGUUAAGGUCUUCAAAUUGUUCUAAAGACUUGCAAAACAAGUGAUAUGUACAUGUAAGUACAUAGUCAGAACACUUUUAGAAGAGAGACACAAAAAACCAAAUAUCUAGCAAGAGCAAUUUAUGUUGGAUCAAUAGCAAUAUGAGUUAAACAAAAAUUGAAGAAAACAUUAACAAAACAAAGCAAAGCAAGAAGAGGACUAACAAGCAAAAGGAACUCAACUUGCUCAAGUGCUUGCACAAGAAUAUAUGCCAUUGCAGCAAUAGCUCCAUGUACUAAGUAAAAAUGGAAAAAAAAAAAAAAAAAAAAAAAAAAAUACACUAAGUGAGAGGAGAUAUUGGCAAAAAAAAGGAGGUGCCUAGGGUUUUUCUUCUACUUGCUUGAGAAUUGCCAAUAUAUUCUCAUACAUAGAUGAGAUUGAUAACCAUACAUAACAAGACAUGGUUAGAUUAUUAGUACAUAGUAAGGAUAGCAUACAUAGUAAGGAUAUCAAAUAUAAUAAGGAUAAGAAAUAUAGUAAGGGCAUCAUAUAUAAUAAGGGUAUCAAAGUUAGUCUUAGCCUAAGUACAGCUUAACUGCAGCUAAUGGAAAGCUCAUAAGUUUUAAAUUUGGGUUAGGAUAAGCAAGUUGCUAAUAUUAAUAUACGUGGUGUCAUCCUUUGUCACGAUGUAAACAACUUUUCAGUCUACAAUGCCAAAUGUUCUGGAACAAAGGAUGGAUAAGUGCAAUUCAUUCAACACUCCCUCUCGCACUCAUCAUUUUCACAAAAUGCAGCAGUGCAAGUUCUGUUUGUCUGAGGCAGUUCGGGUUUUGCAAAUCCAAGUUGACAAUUUGAGAUCGGUGAGUUCCUUGUUCUUGUUGUUGAUGUCGUUUGCUUUUAAGUUUUUUCUUUGACUUGCCAUUACUUAGCGUUUCACAUUUUUUGAGUACUAACAUCAGUUCAGUUUGAAGUUCUCUUGAUGGGAAUAUGGGACUCUUUUUUGUCUUGCUUUGUAGCUUCUGCAAUUUAAUCCUUGUUCAAGAAAUUGGUCACUCAAAGCAAUCUCUGAGAGGUUUUUCAAAAGAAGAGACUGAUGAUCUGUAUUCAACUCCCUCUGAAGCUGAAUUUGAAGAAGAAAUUUCUUGCGAAAAGUGUUCGACAAGUGUUUCACAGGUUCAUUCUGUUGUGAUCUCUUUGAUUGGUGUUAAUCCCGCUUCUGUUGCUUCUUGAGUUGAGGAUUCUAGUUGUAUCUCUUUUGAACCACUUUAGUUUAAGCAAUCAAAAUCCAGUUUUUCGAGGAAGUGUAGUGAUGCUUGUUUUUUAGAAGACUAUUUUGUCGACCCUAGCAAGUGGUGGGAUAACAAGUUCAGAAAAGUAAGCCCUAGAGCACCUGAUUUCAAGCACAAGAUUACCAAGAAGGGGCUUUGGAUUGUUAGCUCAUCUCCACCAGAAUGGGUUAGAACUAAGUUUCUCUAAUUUUUAGUUGAUACAAUUUGUUGUAUACCGAGAGCAUUUUUAAGCUUUUGGAUGCUAGGAUUAGCCAAAGGUUUAGUAAGUAUGUCUACAUCUUAAUGAGAGGUAGGGAUGUUGUUCACUUGUGUGUUUCCUGCUUCAUUUUUCUCUUGAAUAAAAUGGUGUUGUAUUUCAAUGUGCUUUGUUCUUGUGUGAAGUACCGGAUUAUGUACCAACUUUAUAUAUAGCUCUGUUUGUCGCUCAAAAUUUGUGAUGGUUUGUCUCUUGUUAUUUGUAACUGUCAAAGCAAGCUUUGGAGAUAGAUCACGUUGCCGGUGGCUUCUGUGAACACUUUGUAAUCAACUUCAAUUGUGUUGAGGGCUACUUUAGGUUGUUGUUUUGAUCUCUAAUCAAUUACAGCAUCUCUGAGUUUAAUUACCACUUUAAAGAUAGGUCUUUUGGUGUCCAGACAUCUUCCAUAGUCAGCAUCAACAAAAGUUGUGAGUUCUAUUAUUUUGUCUUUUGGAAAGAACAAUCCAUAGUCAGAUGUUCUUGUUAAGUAUUGCAAGAUUUUUUUUGGCUGCAAUGAGGUGAGAUUCUUGUAGUGCAAUGACAAAUCUAUUGAUACAUCCUUUAGUGUAGGCACUGUUGAUUCUUAUGACAGUAGCAUAAAUCAGGCAUCUAGUUAGAGCCUGAAAAGUUGUUUGUCUAUUGAUUUUUUUUCAUGUCAUUACUGAGUUUGUUAAUUGCACACAUUGGAAUAGAUGCAAAUUAACAAUCUUCCAUGUUAAAUCUUUGGAUCAACAAUAAAAUGUAUCUUUUAUGAUAAAGCCACAAUCUGUGCUUUGUGUAUUUGAUUUCACUUCCAAGAUAUUGUCCAAAGUGUUCGAUAGGUAUUAGGUGAUUUUAUUGAUUUCUUCCAAGUUCUCUUCAAUUAUUAAAAAGUUGUUUCUAGAGUACUAUGGUGAUUUUUUUGUUGGAUACCAAAUAGUAUAAAUUGGGAUCAACUGAGUUCUUUAGUUCACAUGAGAGCAAGAAAGAAUUGAUUUGUGACUACCAAGCUUGGAGAGCUUGCUUCAAACUAUAAAGUGCUUGUAUUAGUUUGAAUAAUGUCCUAGUGUUCCCUUUGUCAUUAAAUUGAGUUGAAGUGUGCAUAUAGAUGUUUUUUACUAGUGAUUCAUUUGAGAAGGUCAUUAUUUCAUUAAUUUGACAAAGACUAUCAUAUUUGGACUACUAAUCUAGAAAUGAUAAAGAUAAUGAUAUAUUUAAUAUACUUAAAUAUAAUAAAAAUGAUAAGGAUACUUAAAAAUACUUACUAUUAAUAUACUUUUAAGUAUCUUGGCCUUUGUUUGCUUUUCUUAAAUGGGAUCUUUCAUCUUAAUAUGUAUAUUAUUAACCCAACCAAAUUCAAAUUAUCCAAAAAUAAUAUAAGAAAAGUAAAGAAAUUGUAAGGUAUUAAAUAAUCUAAUAUCUAAUAGAAAUAUUUAAAAUAAUUAUGAUAUGUAUUAAAAAUAUAAAUAAUAAUUAAUAUUUUGUAAAAAAAUUGCUAAAGUUUUUAUUAAUAGAAAAAACUAUUUCUAUUAAAAAAAUCUAUAUACAAUUAUUAUUUGUGACUUUCAAAAAUAUCAAAUAAAACUAAAUAUGAAAAUUUUACCAAAAUUCUAUAAUUAAAGCAAUUUGGCUAUAUAACUAUAUAAACUUCUUCAUAUUAUUUUUUACAUCUAAAAUUUAUUAUAAAAGCCUUAAAGGUUUUUAUAUGGUAUUAUUUUAGAUAGCACACAUGGAAAAAAGAUCAAAGUCAUCCAUAGUCUUUUCAACAUCUUUCUUGUAUUCUAACCUUGAUUUAAGAUUUUUUAGUUCUUUAUCAAUUAUCAAUAGUAAUUCUUGUAAAUUUUAUUUUAUAAACAUAUCUUUUUUUUUAAUUAUUAUUUUUAGUACAUGUGAUUAUAUUUUUUCUUAAAAAGUCUAUUUUAAAUUAUAUAUUUGAUAAUUUUACAAAUUUCUAUACAAUAUCAAAUUUUUAUUUAAAUGAUAAAUAAUCAAUUACUGAUUUUCUUUAAAAGAUCAAAAUAAUAUAAAAGUUUUUUACUAAAAGCACGUUGUUUUAUUUAUUCUACUUUAUGCAUGUUUUUUUUUUUUUUUUUUUUUUCGACUCCUAUAUCUUGUAUAAAAAAAAUUAAAUUUACUAUAUAUCUUAUAUUUAUAGAUUUAAAAAAAUACAUAAUAUGAUAGAUUUUUUUUUUUUUUUUUUUUUUUUUUUUUGCAAUGAUUCAUACUUAGAAUUCAUUGCUAGUUAUUUUACUAUUAUAAUUAAUGCAAAGAAAAAUUAGUGAAAAAAUUAUGGAGAUCGUAAGAGUCUGCUUGAAAAUUAUUUUUACCUUUGGUUACUACCUUCUUGUAAAUUAUUAAAAAUGAAUAAUUAUUUUAGCUAAAGAAUCAAAAUGAAUUCCUCUUAAGAGCUUAUUAAUAAAUUUUACAAUAAAAACUAUCCAUUUCAAGCGUCUUAAUUCAAGUUCAUUACACAUUAAUACAAUAAACAACAUAUUUUUCUUAUUAUCUUAAAAAAAUAAGAUUUCAUAUUGAAAAAAUUUCUCCUAUAAUUUUUAAAUAUAAUUUUUGUAAGAAAUUUUCUUUUAUAAUAAAAAAACACAAUUAAUAUAAUAAACAAUAGAAUCUAAAUUUUGCAAUAGUAAUAUUCUUAAGUUAUAAAGACAUUAAUUCUUAUUGUAUCUACAUUAUCUUAAUAAUUUUUUUUGAGCAUGUCAACAAAAUUUCUUUUCUAUGAAGUUACUUUUAAAUCUUAUUAUAAUUUAAAUAAAUUUAAAAUUUAAAAUUAUUUUUUUAACAUUUUAAACAUGUGCAUACAUUCUAAAAGAUUUUUUUUUAAAUUACAUAUAUUUUAAGCAUAAUGUAGUUUUUUUAGUAAUAUGAAAUUUUAAAUAUUUUAGUAAUAUGAAUUCUUAAAGACUUGAACUAUUUUUUUAUUUAAAAAAACCCAAUUUAGUUACAUAAUCAUUGUAAUUAUCAAAAUUAGAUAAUAAUUGAUCCUUACAUAAACUUAACUCUUUUAUGUUGAAUCUUAUCAAAUUAUGUACAUGUUAAAAAGAAAAAGAAAAAAAAAAUGCCAUCAUCUUUUAUCAAAAUAGAUGAUAAUUAGGACUUGAAGUAAAAUAAAUAAGUAAAUAAAUAAAUAAAAACUGGAUUUAGAAUGAUAUUUAAAAAAUUGAAAUAUCUUAUGCAUUAAUAAGCAUACAUGGAAGACAUCAAAGAAUCAUACAAAUGCGACAAAAAAAUAUUUGUGUUCUUUAUUAACAACAUCCACCUUAUUUUAACCCAAUCAUUGACAAUCAUAACAAGAUUUUAUGAAGUAAGAAAAAAUUGUUAUUGUUAUUCUUUCUUAUAUCUACUUUUUUUUCAUACAAGGUUUUUUUUUUUUUUUUUUUUUUUUUUUUUUUCUUCUUCUUCUUCUUCUUCUUCUUCUUCUCAAGUUAGAAGAUUAUUAUCCAAAAAAAUAAUCUCAAGAAUUAUUCUUUGCAAAAUCACAAAAUAAAUGACAUAACUUAUUAUAAUCUUUCACAACAUUGAAAUUAAGAUGAAGAUCCUAAAAAAUACAUGUUUUCUUUCUUCUAAAUGGUGAAAUACAAUAUGUUUGAUACUACAACUAUAAAAGAUAGUCUCAAUGUUUGGUAAUAUUAUUAGAAAUUGGUAUUUUUCUUAAUGUAUUAUUUGAAGGUGGUUAUCAAGAUGUAUGAUAAUUAUUGCUUAAAUAUAGAUAAAUAUCAAUGGUUCAAAAAACUUAUUAAUUAACUUUAUACAAAGCAUAUAUUAUAAUUUUUAGCAAUCACUAUUUGGCACAUCUUAAAUUUAAUUUAGUUGUGAAGUAAAUUAAAAUUUAACUACUUUUGCCAUAACUUAUUUUUAAAAUAAGAACUAUUAUCUAUAAAUAAAUAUAUAUAUAUAUAUAUAUAUAUAACACUUAAAGAAAAUAAAGCAAGUUGAAAUAAAUAAUAUUAAGUAAAAGUUAAUAAUAUCUAAUAUUUAUAAAAAAAAACUUUUAAAAAUUCAAUAGAUAAAUAAGUAAAUAAAUAAUCAAAUUUACAAAGUUUAUUUAUAAAAUUCCAAUUACCAUCUACUUUUGAAUUCUUUGUAUAAGUGUUUUAGACUUGUCAAAAAGAUGCUCUACUAAAUAUAUAAAAUCUAUACAAUAAUUUAUUCAGUAGUCCAUUCAUCAAAUACAUUCAUCAUGAUUAUCAUAUUCUUUGUCACAUGUAGGUUGAUUUAGUAAAAACUUGGGUCUAUUUAACAUUCUUUUGAUUUAUUAAAAAAAAUACUUUUAUUAUUAUCUAUUUUCUUUCAAAAUAUACAAAACAAUCCAAAAUUAGAAUAUAAAUAUAAUUAUAUUUUUUAUAUAUCUAUUAAUAAUUAUAUUUUUUAUAUAUUAAUUUCAUAAUUACAUAUUAAUAUGUCUUAAUAACAUUAACAUACUAUCCUUGGAGCAAGGCAAGGGCUUUCCAAUGUUAGUUUAUAAUAAUAAAUAUAAGGGAAUGUUAAAUAGACCCAUGUUUUUACUAAAUCAACCUAUCCAUGAUGAGUGAUAUGGUAAUCAUGAUGAAUGUGGUUGGAUUUUAUUGGUUUUGAAUCUAUUAGUGGAGAAAUGAAUCUACAUGUCAUUAUUUCUUUUGUUGAUAGUUAGGAUGGGUGGAUAAAUUUAGAAAAUUUAUGAGUUUAUUUGACAUGAGUUUAUUAUGAAUUUAUUAGUAAAUAAAUAUAAACAUUCGCCUUAUCGUGUCACUCACACGUGGCAGAAGGCGAUUGAUUCACACACUCUCGGAUGAGUCCGACAUGGUCACGUGGUGGGGACGUCCUCAAUCAUGCGGCGACUUUGGGAGAGCACCGUUGUUCGUUCGUUCGUUUCUUUGUCGCCGUGAGCUCUGUAAGUUACGCUCCUGCUCCUUCGCAGCUUCGAAUUCCGGCAAUCUGUCCCGUCUCCUGAAAACUCUCCGUCCCACGCGAUCCUAAAUCCGAGGGGCUGCUUCUCGAACAAAACGCCGUGCAAAUUGUUGCGGUUUACAAAUUUUUCUGCCUAAUUGUUCUUUUCCGGCGAUUGAUUGAAUCUGGGUGCCUUGUUUUGGUGGUGUUUCUUGUAGACGAAUUUAGGGUUUUGUGGUGGAAACAAGUUUCGGCAUUGGAGAGCUCGUGUAUUUUGUGGGUUACGCAAUUCUGCGGAAAAUUGAUGGGCGGGGGAUCUGGCGCGGUUUUAGUUUAACGUCUGCAUCCGAAAUUGUGGGUAGAGUGUCAGGGUACGAGGUUUAGUUCGUUGAGGUUUCGUGUUUGUUUUUUUCUUUUGUGUGUUUUCGUGUGCUGCAGCAUUGUCUGCGACUUGUGUUUGAUUCCUCAUCAAUUCUCGAUUCUCUGUGGCAGAGAGUUAGGAUUUAUUCAGCGAAUUCCUCACAUAGCAGCGGUUUUGCUACGGUUUCAUGCGGCUGCUAGGAGCCACGCCCUAUACGAAUUUGUAUCACAGUUCUCUAUUCUUUGGGUUAUAGCAAUUUUCUUUUGGGAGUUUUGUGAUUGUCACUGCUAGUAUUGAUUGAUCAACAGUCAAGAGAAAAUUCUGACACUGUCGUGAAUUUGUUUUGAACUAAAUCGAGCACUUAUAGAUCUUAUUUAACCCGUGGGCACCAUGUUUCAGUGUCACUUAUCCUAGGUGCAAGUCGCAUGAUACCUUCGUUAUAACGGCGAUUUCUCAUCAUGUCCCUAGCACCAUCCUCUGAGGGAGACCGGCAUAACAAAUUCAAUAACGAGGGCAUUGAUCCAUCGUUCUCGUCGCCACCCUCUUCCUCUUCGUUCACUCUUUCUCCUCAGGAGUCACCUCGGCCAAAGAGUUCAUCUUCAGCACUGCCUCCGGAACAAGCUCUCCUUUCUGUGGGAUUCAAUCAGGAUUAUGGCUGCUUCGCUUGUGGCACGCAGGCAGGUUUCCGUAUUUAUAACUGCGAUCCUUUCAAGGAGACAUUUCGCCGGGAGUCUGAUGGAACCGGUGUUGCUCUAGUGGAAAUGCUGUUCAGGUGCAAUAUUUUGGCUCUCGUCGGCGGUGGGAAGGCUCCCAGGUACUCUCCCAACAAGGUUAUGAUAUGGGACGAUCACCAGAAUCGGUACAUUGGGGAGAUUUCAUUUUGGGGCGAGGUCCGAGCUGUGCGUUUGAGAAGGGACAGAAUUGUCGUGGUGCUGGAAUUCAAGAUUUAUGUGUACAAUUUUGCUGACCUGAAGCUGCUUCAUCAGAUUGAGACGUUUGGUAAUACGAAGGGUCUUUGCGCAGUGUCUUCUGGACCGACCUCUUGCAUCCUUGCAUGCCCUGGGCAGCACCGGGGAGAGGUUCGGAUAGAGCUUUACAACCAGAAAAAGACUCAUUUUGUGCAGGCGCACGACUCUUCCCUCGCUUGUUUGGCACUCAGUCAGAAUGGUGCUCUGUUGGCCACGGCCAGCAACAAAGGCACUCUGAUUCGCAUAUUCAGCACGGUGGAUGGCACGAAGUUACAAGAGGUGACCAUACAACAUUUGUGUUAAUGCGAUAAUGCAUUAAAUUUUGUCACUCGAACUUACCAUGGUGACCUAAAUUAGCAUGGUACUGAUUUUGUUGAAUGAAAAACACUUGUGUGCUGUACUCAGUUGAAGAGUCUCUUUGUAGAAUUUAUGACACUGUUAAUGUAUUAUCGACUUACUGAAAAUGAAUAAUCGCUGAAAUUAGUACAGUGGCAUCCUUCAUUGGUUAUUUCUCACUUUUGAACUUGAUUAUAUCCUUUUCAGCUUCGACGAGGAGCCGAGCGAACUGAGAUCUACAGUAUUGCUUUCUCUGCCAAUGCACAUUGGCUUGCUGUUUCUAGCGCCAAGGGCACCGUGCAUGUGUUUAGUUUGAAGCCAACAACUGAAGAACCUCGCUCUGAGGCCAUGGCAGCGGCGAGGCCACCAUCUUCAAACGGAUCGAUGGCAUCAACAUUUGGUGGAAGCAGCAGUUAUCUACUUGGUGCUUCAUCAUCAUUAUUGUCAUUUGCAUCCACAAAUGCUGGUUCGUCACUCGCCUUAAUUAAAGGUAAACCAAGCUCAUCUUGUGUGUAUCCUCAAACAUCGCUUUGUCAGGCACGUUGUCCUUAUUGUUGGUUUCUUGGAAUUAACUGGAUUUGUCCCCAAUGAGUGAUUUUAUCUUGCAUCCACCAUGUUCAAAUAAUGAAGAUAUACUAGGGGAUGAUCUUGCUGUGUUGUAAUAUCUAAAUUAUUUGGAGGAUUAUCCUUAUUCAGUUAACUCUCUGGUUCCUGGUUGGUUCUUCAUUCCUUUGUUUUUCUUUUUCUUUCUCCUAUGUAUGUGUACUGUUCAUUCAUUGACUUGCAUGAAACUGUUCGUGGCAGGUGUCUUGCCCAAAUACUUUAGCUCAGAGUGGUCGUUUGCCCAAUUUCAUUUGCCCGAAGAAACACGAACAAUCGUUGCAUUUGGCCCACAGAAGAAUACUGUUAUAAUUGUGUGCGAAAACUGCAGGUUUGGUCAACAGAGCCAACAUUUUGUGCUUCAAUACAUUCAUUCUAGCUAUUAUGGAAUGGUUAAAAUUGUCUAAACUGCUACAGGAUUGUGGGGUCAACAACGUCUCCUGAUCAUGCUCAUUAUGGCUGUUGAUUAGGAUUAGAAAGUCUAGUUUUGAAUGCGUUGAGGCAAAAAGUUAUUUUUCAUGUAAUCAUAUUAAAAUCGGCGGUUUGUUUUGAGUCUCUUCUGACUAAACUACCUAUGCGGUGGUUAUCUACGCAGUUUUUACAGGUGUUCAUUUGAUGCAACCCGUGGUGGGGAAAUGGUACAGCUUGAGUAUGAGCGAUUCAUGAAGCAAGAUGAAGCGGAGGAACAAAUUACUGCUGCUCAGAUGCGGAGCGUGAAAUGAAUCUGUUUAGUGAAGUAUCAUCUGAAUAUUGUGAUGCGUUCUACGCCUUUCAUCUUUUUCCGGUUUUUACUUACGCUGGCAGCCGUUACACUUACACGAGUGUUUUGUCAUGAUAUCAAUUCAGAUCUUAGAGUAGACUUUACCGCAUACUCCUUGGGAACACAUGCUUCUCAAUGGCUGAUUUAAAGCGUUUGCCUUUAUUUUGCCCUCUAUCGAUCAGAAUGGGCAGCUUGUGUCUCAGAUGUACAGGAAAAGUUUGUAGGAAGACUGUUUAUGUGACAGAUGUGAAUACCAACUCACGAUCAAACAAAGCUAUUUUUCAAUAUACAGAUAACUUUUCUGUUAUGUCAAGUAGUUGUGGUCGUGAAACGUGGACGAAUUGUGACUAUGGAUUGCUUACUACCUAUAUGAUAGUCUAUGUUAUUAGUUUCCUUCCCUUGUGGAAAUGACAGAUUUGCCAACAUUAGUUAUGGUCAGCAUAUCUCUGGGUGAAACUAGAGUAAUUCGUUCAACACUGUAACCGUUCAUCCUGAAUUUUACAGCAGAUAACAACUUAUUUUUAGUUUUGUGAUUUGAAGGUUUCUUUCCUAUUUGUUCACAAUGAUUUGGCUUGAUAUUGAUUAUGUUAUCUGUUUUAAAAGCUGUUCAGUAGGAAGUGUUGCAUCCAUAAGUAACGUCCUUGUCGAUAAACAUGAGUAGUCUCACAUUUCAAAAUGCAGUUCGCAGUCACAGCAUUUCACUUGUGUAAGGAACAAAUUGGACGGAUAAGAGCGUAUUAUAAUCUAUUUGAUAUUACUUUCUUGAAUCAUAUGUAUAUUUUUGGGCACAUAAUUUAUACUUCAAUAUUAGUUUAGGGAUUGUAUAAGAGAUAAAACUAUAAAUUUGUGUUGUGGUUAUCAAAAAAUUCCAAAAUGAUUGGUGGGUAUUUUGGGGUGCGGUGAGAACGGGGAUGUAUCGAGCAUGCGGGCAUAGGUGGAGCAUCUGAUGGAGGCUCUAAAGAAGCUAUGGCUGUAGGGAUGUAGCUCAGAUGGUAGAGCAGAGAGCGGGGCGAGGAGCGGCAUAGCGGCGGCGGAGCAUCGGAACGAUCAAAGAAUGCGUGCGAUGGUAGCAACACGAUUGUGAUUUUCUUAGCUCAAUCGACGAACCGUACUUAGCAAUGUUCUAACCUUGCUAAGUACUAGAACAUUGCUAAGUAACCGACGUCAGUAUUAGUAGCCAGCUAUGAACUCUUAGUUGUAAAACUAGGUAUCGUUUAAAGUUUUGGUUCAAGAUAUUGCUAAGAUACCAAAAAGAAUUAGUCUCUUGGGCCCAACUCCAGACACACCACUAAUAUACAAAAUCAUACUGUUGGGACAUCCCCUUCAAUGCACGAGAUGCGGAACCAUUGGCCAUACUGCUAUGGAAUGUCCAAGAACAACACACUUACGACAACCUCCACAAUAGGACCCAAGACAAAGAAUCUGACCACAAUAGAACUAGUCAACCCAAGGCCAUAAUAAUCGACAAUUACAUCAACAUCCCAAAGGGCGAGGUAAUUCCAAUUACCGUCAUCCGCCUCCCUAAGGGAUAAACCCAACCUCACCCAAUUCUACCAUGACAAACAACCUACAGGAUACUUCAAGGACAGAACCGGACACCACCUCAGAGGUUGUCCCCCCCGUACCUCUGUCACGUAGACUAAAAUCAGUCAUCAGAUUAGAAACUUCUUCUGCUAGGCAGAAUGCAAUAUCUCCUCUAAUGGCAAACAUCGUCUUCAGUGCUAUGCCAACAUGAACGUCAUCCAAUCAAGUAAAUAAAUCACAACCUACAUGCCGCCAACCAACACGAACGGGAAAUAAUCGGGACAUCACCACAACAUAAGCAUCUUCAUUACAUCACCAACUACUGAUACAGAAUGAAGUAUUCUCCAAAACUCCCAAUACAUCAACAACAAGUGACUCAAACUCCCAUCUAGAAAGUAGAGCAAGCUUUCAGUUUGUGUAGAAGGAACGUGUAGAGGAGAAAACCCAACAAAACCAUGAGAAACACAUUGAUUCGGGUUCUACAGAUCCAGACACCCACAAGAGGAGACAUUGUACUUCAACUCUUCUCAAUUCCUCUCUACAGUCUAUACCUCUUAAUCCACCCAUUCGUACACAGACCUACCGAUGUCGAAUAUUCCUCCUUCUACUCACAAAAUUCGGGAGUCCAUACUAUUUCAAUGUGUUAGCCUAGCUGAGCAUGACAUGCACAUAACCUGUAGCAUACCUCCAAGUGACGGUGCUCGAAGACCAAACCACAUGGACAGCCAAACAAGCUCAAACAAUUAUUCUUAACGAGACAGCACAAGUACUUUCGGGCAUUAUUGUGAAUACUCACAAUACCAAGAAGCAUCUUUGCUAUUGGGAAGAUGCAAUAUGGGGAUAUAAAUAGGAACAAAUAGAGGAUAAGACAAGCCACUGCAUUUGUUUAGCAUUCAUACAAGCUCCACUAUUAGAGAUCAAACUAAAAUAACAUGAUUGUCACAUAUGGAUCUCCCUAGCUCCUAUACUUCAGAGCUUCAUCCCUGAGGUCAACAAGAAUAUAAUCCGCCUAUUGCCACCUAUAGCGGCAAAAUUCAUACAAGAACUACUAAGUACCAGACAGUUUGGCAUAGAUC